rnacentral:lncRNA from 1 species
CACCAGCCCUUGAAGCACUGGACAGCAUGCAUCCUUGGCACUGCUGCCAAUUCCAAUGUGAAUGAGGCCACCCAACACAUCCACACAAGCUCCCAACUUGAGAGUGUCGAUGGGACACGUGUUCUUUGGUGGUGAUGGGGUUGGCACUGGUGUUGGUGGUGGUGGAGGAGGACAUGGUGUCUCAGUGGGUGGAGGAGGCUUAACUGGUACAACUGGGGUAGGUGUAGGUGUUGGUGGGCUUGGUGGUACAACAGGUGGUGAUGGUGGUGGCUUAACUGGUACAACUGGGGUAGGUGUUGGUGUUGGUGGGCUUGGUGGUACAACAGGUGGUGAUGGUGGUGGCUUAACUGGUACAACUGGGGGCUUGGGUACAUAGGGUGGUGGGGGUUGUACAACUGGGGGCUUGGGUACAUAUGGUGGUGGUGGUUGUACAACUGGGGGUUUGGGGAUGAAGGGUGGGUGCACAAUUGGGGGUUUAGGGAUAAAAGGUGGGUGCACGAUUGGGGGCUUGGGGAUGAAGGGUGGGUGCACAAUUGGGGGCUUGGGGAUGAAGGGUGGGUGCACAAUUGGGGGUUUAGGGAUGAAGGGUGGGUGCACAAUUGGGGGUUUAGGGAUGAAGGGUGGGUGCACAAUUGGGGGUUUAGGGAUGAAGGGUGGGUGCACAAUUGGGGGCUUGGGGAUGAAGGGUGGGUGCACAAUUGGGGGCUUGGGGUGGGGUGGUGGUUUGACAAUAGGAGGCUUGGGGAUGAAGGGAGGUCUCACAAUAGGUGGUUUGGGGACAGAAGGAGGUUUUGGUAUAUGGGGAGGAUAUACAAUGGGGGGUUUGGGGCCAUGAGGUGGCUUGGGUACAUGGGGUGGAUGAGGAUGAGGUGGCUUUGAUGGUGGCUUGGGAACAUAGGGAGGCUUUACAUGAGGGGGAUGGGGUGGUUUUGAUGGUGGUUUGGGAACAUAGGGAGGCUUUACAUGAGGAGGAAGAGGUGGUUUUGAUGGUGGUUUGGGAACAGAGGGAGGCUUUACAUGAGGGGGAUGAGGUGGGUGUUUAGGUGGUUUAGGGAUGAAGGGUGGCUUUACAUGAGGAGGCUGUUUGGGUGGCAAGUGUGGAGGGUAUGUUGGUGGUGGACAGUAGGAGUUAGCAAGAGAAGUGAGCAAACUACCCAAAUUCACAAUGAGGACUAAGAGCAAAGCCAGGGUAUAAUUCCCCAUGUUCAAAACUCCACAACCCUCAAAAGAGUUGGGUUGUUUAAGACCGGAUAUUGAAACCCAACACCAUGCAAAAGCCUUCUUAUAGAGAUAUGGUGAGACAAGUUGUGAGUGAGUAUGUACAUAAGAGAGAGAGAGAGAGAGAGAGAGAGAGAGAGAGAGAGAGAGAACACAAUCCUGUACCUUUCUUUGUGGUACCAACUAAAGAUAUAUAAAACUAUUAAUCUCUGUGCAUAAUUAAUUAAUUUGUCAAAUUGCCAAGAUGCACAUUGAAUUGAGGUCUCUCCAAACUCCAAACUUCAACUUGAUCAGUAUCAAAUUCACCACAAACAAAAGGGAGGAAUUGAGUCACUUUCUUCCUUUACAUUCAGAACCAAGUAGGGCACUGCAAUCACUGACUUAAACUGUAGACAAAAGUAUUCAGCUUUUAAGGAGAAAAGGAUCAAGAAAACGCGGUUUUGUGAUAGAGGCAAGUUUUAACAUGUAGUGAGAGCCUUGCAAGUGACUAUUCAACCCGUGAUUGAGGUUUUGAUGCCAAGCCACAUGUGAGGCUUUCAUUGACAACAUUUUCUUGCAUUAAAAAAUUCUAAGGGUACAAAAGAGGCCUUAGACUUUUUCUACUUAAAGCACAUGGUUUUUCCUUUUUUCAUUUUUUGGGGGUUUUCUCCCGAAUAGACGAGUCCAUUAAUGCUACAAUGUUUUAGUCUAAGAAAUAUUCCUAUAUGAAUAGACCGUACAAUUGUAUUUGAGUGUCGGUUAUCUUAAUUUAUUAUUUUUUAUAUAAACGAUAUUGUAUUUUAAUUUAAUCCAUACUAUAAAAAGAAUUAUUUAAAUUUAGAUACAAAAUAAAGAACACAUUUGUUCUAACUAACUUAAUUAAUCCUAUGUGUGCAAUUAUUUUUUACAAUUAAACAACUCGAUUUGAUGUAGGAAUUUUCCUUGUACAAUUUAACUUGCUCGCUUUGCAAUUUCAUUUCAAAAAAGUAUAUGCAUGGCCUAGCCAUCAUGUCUUUCAAAUCAACAGCUCAUCAUAGGGCAUCUUUUUAAAAUGAGGGUAAUGCUGGCUUCACAUGCAGCUGCACAAUAAUUUCAAGAAUUAUUAAUCGUACCUAGCAUUGUUAGCAAGACAUUUAGGGCUGUAAUUAUGUGAAAAGUGAUGUUCGCCGAAUCAAUUAUAUAAGGAGAACUUACUGCAAAACAACUCUGUGUGGAACCCAUCUACUUGUUCUUUGUUUUUUUUAGGUCUGAAGUCCAUCUACUUGUUCACUCCACGCCAUUGAAGUGUAGUCUAUCUAAAAUGGUAAGGGUGCCCUAGUUUAGGCGUAAGUACUAUGUGCAGGGUUUUGGGUUUUUCUUUGUAGACAAAAACCUAGAAGUAUCAUAUCUACAUUGUUCUGACUAUUAAAAAAUUAGACAAAGGGGUAAUGAUUAUGCCAAAAUGAAUUUCAACAUCACUUUCGACCGACAAAAUUUCAUUUGCUUAUAUCGAAGCUCGUAUUGAAAUUUAUUAAUUUUAACAAAGUUAGAAUAUGUCAUCUGUCACGUAAUUUGGUGAAUAAAUUUUAUCUUUCGGUGCCUCUACAAUAUUAAAGCAUCAAAUAGUGCAAAUCAUGACAUCUUAUUUCAACGUUCAUUAACAGACCUUCAUACAAUCAAGGCAUCGGAUGCAAGUAGGGUGGUAGAUUUUUUCCCCUUUUCAACCCAAUAAUAUGAGUUAAAACAAUUAUAUGUGGAACACAAUAACACCGCUUUAAUAAUUCUAUCUAAAAGGGUAUAUGCGACAGCUGGCCAAGAGGUAUAUUCCAUGUACACAAAAUGUUACUUUCAACUACAUGCCAAUAUUUCUACAGCGAAAAUUCCAAAUCAACAUGCAAAGGGAAAAUGAAAUGGGAUGUACUUGCUGUAGUGCCUGUUUGGAUAGAAAGAAAGGAAAAGAAAAGAAAAGAAAAUUCAUUUCUUGGAGAAACCAGAAAUUGAGUUUUUCGUCCUUAUUUUCGAAGUGUCGCAAUCAAGUUUUUUUGAUAUAUUGAUGAGUCAUCCAUUGUAGAAGAAAUGGCAUCCAUCAAAACCUGCCACCAUUAAAAUCCAUGCAAAUCCACUUGUUACAAUUAUAUGAAGUCACUUGUGCAAAGCGACAUAUGAAUUUAAAGGGCGAUAAAGCCGAUGUAAUAUAUGUAGGGUCAGGCUGAGACUACUUUGUCUCCAAAUCUUUAACCAAAUCUAAUUUAACACUAAUUAUUAUUGCUCACUACAUCAAGUAAGAAAGAUUAAUAGUAUUUUUCGGUGUGAAUGCAUAAACGUAUCUGUGGAUUCUUAUUAUUUCGAUGUGAGCUUACAGCUUAGCAUAUUAACCUCACUUCAUAUAAAAAUUAUCUCCAAUCCUGAGGUCUAACUUUAUAAAAAAAAAUGAAAAUGACUUUGUAGGUCCAAAUCAAAAUGCAACGUGCCGACAAACACGGACUUAGUCAAGUUGGUUAAAGUGAAUGUGCUAUUCUCACUUUGCAUUCGAUUUCAAAUUCCCCUCCUUAUGAUUUAGAUUAGAUCUAAGUAAAACAUUGCUUAUAUAUAAAAGCAAUAUGCAGCUGUAUGCAGAAGAUUUGGUUGAAUAAUUGCUCUAUAUAAAAUAAUAGGUAAAGUACCUUGAUUAUCUUUUUUCCAACAACCCUGUUCCCUAUAUCUGCCCAUUGUUUAUAUCAUAAUCAAUCAAUUAAUUGAUUAACAACACCAAAUUCUUGAUACCUUCAGCAAAGACACGAUAUUUUCUACCCAAUUUAGUUUGUCGUUUGAAGAAAAAGAAGAAGGAAAAAAAAAACAUUUAGUUUGUCAGAUCAUAUCUUAUAGCAUGAGUGUUAUAUUUAAAACUAUAUAAGAAGGGGCAAAAUUUGGACAUACUUGGAUCAACUGUAACAAUCAUGGCAGUCCCUCCAAAAUCACAAGUGCCACCGGCAGCCCUGGUGCUCUGCCAGUAGCUGUUGAAGGCGUACGAAGCGUGGGACAACAAUGUGUCUGGUUUAUAGCAGGACCCAUUGGGCUGGAUUGACUUGCAGUCUGCACCAGACCCACACGCAUAGUCCAGGGCCUCUUGGACUAUUGGGCCAGGCACGGCUGGCUUGGCCACACACCACACCGCGCCAGACUGUGGUGGCUUUUUUCGUGGAGGGCUUGUGGGCCCUGAUGGUGGAGGGUAAGCUACAGGUGGGGCCAAGGCUGGUGGGCCUGGGAUAGGCUUGGGUGGGGAUGGAGGAUUUUUGGGUGGGCCUGGAAUUGUGGUGGGUGGGCCAGGUGGGUGAGGGGUGGGCCCAUUUGCAGGUGGUGGUUUUGGGAUGGGUGAGCAAGUGGGUGCAGAAGAUGAAGGGGAGGAGGAAGAUGAAGGAGUAUUUGGUUGAGGUGGGUUUUGGGAAAAUGGUGGAUUUGCACAGUAUGGAGGAAGAGGAACAUUUCCAGGCAAGGGAAGUGGUGCCAGUGAAUCAAAGGGUGGGAAAGAGAAGGGAGGACUUACCUCUAGUGGCUUAACAUUUGAGGAAGGCAAUGGUAAAUCUAACUCUAAGUGAUUUAUUGCUUUCAGCUUCUUCUCUAAUUCUGUGUCUUGGGAUUUUAAGAAUUGUGCAAAAAUUCUUGCAUCUGCUCUAAAACAAAGUCACAUAAUAAGUUGUUAAAAUUGUUCAAGUAGUGUGUCUUUGGAAAACCCAAAUAAAUAAAUAAAUUCUUGCUUACCACAUAAAAUGGAGAAAGUUGUGAAUGAAAUGGAGAUGAUGGCCAAUCUCAUGUAAGACAUUGUGGGCUGCAUCUCUUGAAAAGCCAAUGUGAUUAAAGGCAAAAUACCCAGAAGAAGCUGACUGAAAAUUUUGUGCUUAUUUAAUUCAUCCCUCAAGCAAACACUUGGGAUAAGUAUAUAUAGGCAGAUGCUUAGGCAGGCCAGAGAUGUGUGGGAGUGGUAACAAAAGGCGGUGGCCAUAAAGGAAAAUUAUCAACAUAGAGAGACUAAAGGAGAUUCCUGUGUCACAACUUUGUAGCCUAAGACUCAAAAAUAGUGUAAGAUAUACAACAUGCAGAGGACAAAGGUGAGGGAGAGAGAGACUAGAGAGUGUUGGUUUUGGAGAGGUGUACAAGAAACUUUUCUCCCUUUUUGCAUCUUCCUUUGAAUAUAUUCUUGCUUGGCAGUGGAGAAAUAUGAACAGUGGAGUUUUCUGCACUUUUAUUUGCUUGCUUUCCACUCAAAGUGAAACAAACUUCCACUCUGUUAAAGUAUAAGAGAUUUAGCUGAGUUUGUUACUUAAAUUAUGAGCCUUUGGAUCACAGUCCAAAUGGACAGCUAGGAUGUAUUCUUAGGUGUAGUUGAUUUGUGCCAAGUGUAGCUAUCUCAUAGGGUAGUUAAUGAUUGGUUAGAUUUGCUGAUGUAAGAGAGAAUAUUCUUUUCUUUUACUGUUAUAUUGGUAUGCACAGAUUGUGCAUGACUAAGUGUGAGAAUACAAUCUGAUAUUUUCAUCUUCUUCUUCUCCACGUUUUCUCUCUACAUUUUACUAGAGCUCCAUUCACCUAUAAUCCAAAAACAUGGCAGAUCAUAGUCUGCAAAUGCUAACAUGGUAUCACUGAGCCAGGUUUGAUCGUUUAGCUGGGCGUUUGAAUCUGUGAAGGAAGUGAGCUGCGUUUUCUAUCAAAUCUUGCUCUCUGUGAAAUCUGUGUCUAACAUGGCAGGAUCUGGAGGUGGUGAGCUGCGUGCUCCAAUCUUCAAUGGUGAGAACUAUGAAUUCUGGAGCAUAAGGAUGAAAACCAUUUUCAAAUCUCAUGGGAUUUGGGAGCUGGUUGAGAGAGGAAUAGAAGGCUCAGAUUCGAAGGGAGCUGAUGAAUCUGAUACAAAACAAAAGGAAAAAGAGGAAUCAAGUGGUUCUGGGAAGAUGGCUAUAGCUGAGAUCCUGAUGAAGGAUGCUAAGGCCUUGGGGUUGAUUCAAGGAGCAGUAUCUGAGGUGAUCUUCCCCAGGAUUUCUCAUGAAGAAUCAUCUCAUGGAGCCUGGAACAUCCUGAAGCAGGAAUUUCAUGGUGAUAAGCAGGUAAGAAGUGUAAAACUGCAGGGACUUCGUAGAGAAUUUGAAUACACUAGAAUGAGAGAGGAUGAAUCUCUAUCUGCUUAUCUUACAAAGUUGUUUGAUCUAAUAAACCAAAUGAGAGGUUAUGGGGAAGAACUAUCUAGAGAAAGAAUUGUGCAGAAAAUGUUAAUUAGUCUGCUGCCUGGAUAUGAUCCAAUCUGUUCUGUGAUUGAACAUUCAAGGGAUCUAGAUGUAAUUGAGGUUCAAGAGGUGGUAGCCUCAUUGAAGAGCUUUGCUCAAAGGUUGGAAAGACAUCAUGAGAACAAAACUGAGAAGGCCUUUGCUAGUCUGAGUACAGAUACCAAAUCUGCUAAGGCCACUGGAAAUCAGAAUUCCAAGCAGCAGAAGACUUGGAAAGACAAAGGGAAGAAGUGGGAUAAUAAACCUACGGAUGGAACUAAAACUCCUUGCAAACAUUGUGGGAAAUUGCAUUAUGGAGAAUGUAGGUUCAAGGGCAAACCAAAGUGCUAUAACUGUGACAAGCUUGGUCACAUUGCCAAAGACUGCUAUAGCAAGAAACCUGAACAGCAGCAGCAGCUUCAGUUUGCUACUCAGGUUACUUCUUCACCAACCAUGUUCUAUGCUAACAAUGCAACUGAGAAAAGGUCCAUGGAAGAGGUAUGGUACUUGGACAGUGGGUGUAGUAACCACAUGACUGGCAGAGAAGAUGUUUUGAUUGAUAUUGAUAGGAAUGUGACUGCAAAAGUUGCUAUGGGAACAGGACAGUUGGUUGAUGUUAUUGGAAAAGGAAGCCUGAUGGUUCAAACUAAAAUGGGAAGGAAAUAUAUCAAGGAGGUGCUAUUGGUAUCUGGUCUCAAAGAGAACCUACUCAGCGUUGGACAAAUGAUGGAGCAUGGAUAUUUCCUAAUUUUUGGAGAUAAUAAGGCAGAAGUCUAUGAUGAUAGCUCUCUUUCAAAUCUAGUGGCUAGAGUGGAUAUGAAAGGAAAUAGAAGUUUUCCUUUGAAACUUCAAACAGAUUUACAUAUUGCUCUAACUGCAAGCAUUAACCAAUCAACCUUGCUUUGGCAUAGGAGAAUGGGGCACUUAAACUUGCAGAGUUUGAAACUGCUGCAGAAUGAAGACAUGGUGUUUGGUCUGCCAGAAAUCAAAAAUACAAAUGCAGUGUGUGAAGGCUGUACUUUUGGAAAACACUGCAGGAAGGCAUUUCCAAAAGAAGCAACCAGCAGAGCUACAUCUCCACUGGAAUUGGUACACACUGAUGUGUGUGGACCAAUGCAAACUGUUACCAAAGCAGAAAACAGGUAUUUCCUCACCUUUAUAGAUGACUGUACAAGAAUGUGCUGGAUCUAUUUCUUGAGAUGCAAAUCUGAGGUAUUCACAGUGUUUAAGAGGUUUAGAGCCACUGUUGAAUUGCAAAGUGGAUAUAAGGUGAAGAAACUAAGAAGUGAUAGGGGAGGAGAGUACACCUCUAAUGAGUUCAAUAAAUUCUGUGAUGAAAUGGGAAUGGAGAGGCAGCUUACAGUGGCAUACUCACCACAGCAGAAUGGUGUGGCUGAGAGGAAAAACAGAACCAUAGUGGAGAUGGCCAAGUGUAUGAUGAUUGAGAAGGGCAUGCCACUUGAGUUUUGGGCAGAAACUGUUAAUACUGCAGUGUAUAUUCUAAACCGAAGUCCAACUAAAGCUCUGGACAAGAAAACACCAUUUGAAGCCUAUAGUGGGAGAAAGCCAGGACUUAAACACUUAAGAGUGUUUGGAUCUUUGUGCUAUGCACAUGUUCCAAAUCCACAGAGGCAGAAACUGGAUUCAGCAAGCAACAGAUGUGUGUUUCUAGGAUAUGGCAGCUGUGAGAAAGGGUAUAGACUGUAUAACAUUGCCACUGAAAAGGUGAUUAUCUCAAGGGAUGUGGUAUUUAAUGAAGAAGCUAGCUGGGAUUGGAAUGCAAAGCAAGAAUGCAGUGUUUCAGUGCCAUUUACUGAAGUUGUGUCUGAAAAGGAGAAAGGGAGCAAUGACACAGCUGUGAAGCAAGCAGAACAUUCAGUUGAGAAUGAAUUGCUAACAGAAGACAAUGAAGAAAGAUCUGUGGUUGAUACAGGUACUCAAGAUAUUGACCACACUCCAUUGAGAUACAAAAGUCUUACAGAGAUCUAUGAAAGCUGCAACAUCUGCAUCAUUGAACCAGAAUCCUUUGAAGAAGCUGUCAAGGAUGCAGCAUGGCAAAAGGCAAUGGAAGCAGAACUUGAGAUGAUAGAAAAGAAUGAAACUUGGGAUUUGGUAAAAAGACCAUCUGAUAAACCUAUAGUUGGUGUCAAAUGGAUCUUUAAAGUCAAGCUAAAUCUGGAUGGUUCUGUUCAGAAAAACAAAGCAAGGCUAGUAGCUAAAGGCUACACUCAAAAGCCAGGAAUUGAUUUCAAUGAGACAUUUGCACCUGUUGCUCGGCUUGACACAGUUAGAACACUGAUUGCUCUGGCUGCUCAGAAAAGGUGGAAACUGUUUCAGCUUGAUGUAAAGUCAGCCUUCUUAAAUGGAGUGCUACAAGAGGAGGUGUAUGUGGAUCAACCUCCAGGAUUUGUGGUUCAAGGCAAGGAAGACAGAGUUUAUAGACUCAAGAAGGCUCUUUAUGGUCUCAAACAAGCUCCAAGAGCUUGGUAUGAAGAAAUUAAUUCAUACUUUGCUGCUGCAGGAUUUCAGAAAAGUCCUAGUGAGGCUACAUUAUAUGUGAAAGCUGCAGAAAGUGGAAUCCUAAUUGUUUCACUAUAUGUAGAUGAUAUCAUCUACACAGGAAGCUCUAAAGAAUUGGUGAUGAGUUUUAAAACUGAAAUGAUGAAGAGAUAUGAAAUGACAGAUCUGGGAUUGUUGCACCAUUUUCUGGGAUUGGGUGUGAUACAAGCUGAGUCCUACAUCUUCUUGCAUCAGAAGAAAUAUGCAAGAACACUGUUGGACAAGUUUGGUUUAAAGGACUGUAAAGCAGUGUCAACUCCACUUGCUAUGAAUGAGAAGUUAUCCAAGGAGGAUGGAAGUGAACAGGCUGAUGAAAAGCUGUACAGACAGAUUGUUGGAAGCUUACUAUAUCUGACUGCAACAAGGCCAGAUAUCAUGUUUGCUGCAAGUCUCUUAGCAAGAUACAUGCAUGGACCUACUAAGAAACAUAUGGGAACUGCUAAGAGAGUACUUAGAUACAUUCAAGGUACUCUAGACUAUGGCAUUGCAUAUGAGAAAGGAAAAGAGGCAAUGCUGGUUGGAUAUUGUGACAGUGAUUGGUCAGGCUGUGAAGAUGAUAUGAGGAGCACAUCUGGCUAUGCCUUUCACCUUGGAUCAGGUGUUUUCUCUUGGGCAUCUGUUAAGCAGAGCAGUGUAGCUCUAUCCACUGCAGAGGCAGAAUAUGUUAGUGCAGCUGAAGCUACAGCUCAAGCAGUCUGGUUAAGGUUUGUUCUAUCUGAUUUUGGUGAAGAACAAGUUGAGGCUACAACAAUCCUAUGUGACAACACUUCUGCAAUAGCAAUAACAAAGAAUCCUGUGCAUCAUCACAGGACAAGACACAUAAGCAGAAGGUUUCAUUUCAUCCGAGAUGCUUUGCAAAAUGGUGAGAUUGAUCUGCUAUACUGCAAAACUGAUGAGCAGAAUGCAGACAUCUUCACUAAGGCUUUGGCAAGGAAUAGGUUUGAAUAUCUAAGGAGCAAGCUUGGAAUUAUUUCAGCUAAACACUUAGAAGGGAGUGUUAAAGUAUAAGAGAUUUAGCUGAGUUUGUUACUUAAAUUAUGAGCCUUUGGAUCACAGUCCAAAUGGACAGCUAGGAUGUAUUCUUAGGUGUAGUUGAUUUGUGCCAAGUGUAGCUAUCUCAUAGGGUAGUUAAUGAUUGGUUAGAUUUGCUGAUGUAAGAGAGAAUAUUCUUUUCUUUUACUGUUAUAUUGGUAUGCACAGAUUGUGCAUGACUAAGUGUGAGAAUACAAUCUGAUAUUUUCAUCUUCUUCUUCUCCACGUUUUCUCUCUACAUUUUACUAGAGCUCCAUUCACCUAUAAUCCAAAAACAUGGCAGAUCAUAGUCUGCAAAUGCUAACACACUCUCUCUCUCUCUCUCUCUCUCUCUCUCUCUCUCUCUCUCUAUAUCAGGCUCUACAUUUCUCAGGAAGCUAUUAACUUGUUAUUAAAUGGUUCCUUGGGAUUAAUAUUCCAAAAUAGUUUGACAUCCUUUCCAGCCUUAGCAAUCAUAUUUCACACACUAAUGCAUGUUUUUCAGCUUGAUGUGGUAUUAGUUGACUUCAAUAUUACAGAACUCUUGGUUCAUGCUCAUCACUGAACCUGAAACCUAGGAGUUUUUGUUUGGGAAUGUAACCAGGAAGAUCAAAAUAUACCAAACUUGGGAACGAGAGAGGUGCAUAAAACUUUUGCUCAUCAUCAAAGCUAAAUGUGUCAUCGUAGUUUGAGCAUAUUUCUUACUCUCUAUAUAUUUCAUUGCAGACACACAAGACUUUCAGUUUUAACUAAGAACAACUAAAAAGCCCACAUGAACUCCUUUGCUAGAAUUUGCUGAAAAAGAAAUUGUAAUCUUCAUUAAGCAGGCUUACAUAGGUAAAUAAAUUGUGUAGCUCUUAUUCUUGUUAUUAACUGUUAAAUUAAAAUCUCCAUGUCAUCCUGUUUUUUUUUUUUUAACUGUUUGGCAACACCACUUUGCCAUCCAUAAACUAUAACUAUUCUUCUCCCUAAGGGAAUUUUAUUAGGAAAUUACCCAUCUGGUAUGUAAAUCAUGUUUCAGAGUUCACAUUUAAACACAACCUUUAAACUUGGACAAUAAAUUAUAGGACCGUUGCCAACAACCCGACGCCAUCUAUAACAAGUGUGGCUUGAACUGUUCUUGAAUUUAGAAAGCAAAUUUAAGAAGCUCCAUUACUUAGCAUGUAAGUUUUGUUUCCGAGUUCAAUUGGAAAAAAUUAUGCUAUCGUUGGCAACUGUCCCUUGCCAUCUAUAACAAUCCAGGCUUGAACUUUUGUUGAAUUUAGGAAGCAAUUUAAUUAGCUUCACUACUCAAAAUGCAAAGGAUGUUUUUAAAUUUCAAAUUCAAACAUUAGGAAGCAAUUGAAUAAAUUAUGUGGCUGUUGCAACGGUCCCCUGCCAUAUUCGAUAUCUACCAUGUUUAUCAUUUAUGACCUGAAAAGGCAUAACAGGGCAACUAAGCUGACUCUAGUAUAAAUCUGCUCAAUUGUUCAAGUUAUCCAUCAUAUUGUGUUUGCUAAACCACAGCCUUAUUCAGGACAAUAAGAAAUAUGGCUGCAGACCCUUCCCCAAGGAUGCUAAUCACUCAUAAGGGACCCUGUGUCCGCUACAUUGCUUGGACUCCACUCUUGAAUGGUUUCUGGAAGCUCAGCUUCACAGGUCAUUACAAGCACGAAUCGAAGACUACUUCAGUCGGCUGCAUUUCUGAGAGAUCACAAUGCUGUAUUUAAAGCUGCCUUUGCGCAACAUGUAGAAAUGGUCAGCAGCUUUACAAGGGCUCAGUCGACUGCAGUCAGCUGGGCCCUUGAAUUAGCUAAAGGUGAAGGUGUCGAUUACCUUGAAAUCGAAGGAAAUCAUCCGUUUGUGUUUCGGAUGAUGUGGGGCGACAUCACCAGAACUAGCUCUAUGAUCAGGGGCUUGUUAAUAAAUGCAGAUGUGAUUUAAGACAGAUUAGGAGUGUGAGGCUCCGACAUGUCAACAUGUAUGGUAAUUUGGCUGCGAACUUGCUUGCGAGAAUUUCUUUGCAGCCUCAACAAGAGAGGUCAUGGUUUGGUGACCCUCCGGAAGAAAUAAAUGGAAUUCUAGUGAGGGAUGUGAUCGGUCGUUGGAUCGCUUUCUCGGACCUAUGAGUGAGUCAUCAUUUGGAUGACACAGAAGGACUUCGUGGAUUUCUUUCUUCAAGGAAAAAUCUGUUAAGUUGCUUUUCUUUUUGGUUAAGUAGCAGUUUGCACAUCUUUUAUUUUCAGAAAUGAAAUAUUUUGGAUUAGUGAUGAUUGUGAAGCCCUUGAUUUUUCUAAUCUCUUCCUUAAAGAAUUAAGAUGUGUGAACAUGUAACUACUAAGAACAAAAGUCAUCUGCUUAAUCUCACAUUUCAUUUUCAUUUUCUUCCUUUGUAGUUUAAUUGUAUUCCCUGACCUUUCCGGUACUGACCAUGACCCCUAUCUAUCAAAACCAAGUUCAAAUAAGGGAGAAUUUUUAAGGAGAUAUAUUGAUGACCUUGGGUGGAAUUUUUUCUUAGUAAAACUUUUAUGUGGUUUUACUCAAUAAACAAGUUACUCGUUUUACUCGACUUGAAUUUUUGCCUAUUUUGUCUAGAAUCAAUUACGUUUGAUGAUGAAACCAAUUACCAAAUAGUUCUUAAUCUAGUGAUACUUCUCUUCUCAACAAGUUACAAGGAUUCCGAACUCAAUUUAAUCACCUGUAGAAAUUACUUUGUCGCUGACAUGCCCGUGUGCCUUCAAAUGUUGAGGUCCAUUAGAAAGUGACCGUGCCUUUUAUCAAUAACAAACCCACAUGCCCAACUUGACCAACAAAUAAUAUUUUAAUAAAGUAACCGGUGCCUUUUAAGAAUGUAUUGUGGGAUGAAUUAAUGAUCUACCACAAUUAAAUGCAUUUUCAAAUAGCGAAAUAUUACAACAUCGCAGAGAGGUAUUGCAUGAUCUACCACUCUAGUUAUUCUGUUGCUGCAGUGCAGUGCAAUGCAGGUGUACAACUUAUUGUUCAACAGAAAACACAAAAUAACUUAACUUGAACUAAGUCCAUAAUAUAAAAAAGAUGAAGAGGCCAUGGACUGGAAACUCUGGAUCCAGAUGAUGUAGGGAUCAAGGGGUGUAUGGCCUUGGAAUAAGAUACAGAGGAGCUUUCUUAUGGACUGUGAGUCCGAACACUUCGGUCAUGUUCAAUGUGUCAGCCAAUUUAGUACCACCACUAGGCAACUUCCAAUCGAACCAAAACAGUAGGUUGGCAAGCACAUAUUCAGCUGAAGCAACCGCAAAGGCCAGUCCGGGGCACACCCUUCUUCCACCACCAAACGGGAGGAGUUCGAACUCUUGACCUACCAAACCGAUGGAGUUCUGCUCAAACCUCUCUGGCAUAAACUCUUCUGGCUUGUCCCAGACUCUGCGGUCUGUUUGUAUUGCGAAUGCAUUCACAAACACUUGUGUUUUCGCAGGGAUGUCGUAACCUCCCAAUUUUACAUCUGCAGUUGUUUCACGAGGAAGUAAAAGAGGACCUGGAGGAUGAAGCCUUAGAUUUUCGGUGAUUACACAUGACAAGUACUUCAUUUCCUUGAUGUCACUCUCGUCUACAUAUCCCCUUUUCCCCGCCACUCUUCUUACUUCUUCUUGGACUUUCUUCAUCACCCGUGGAUUUUGCGAAAGCUCAGACAUUAACCAUAGCAUUGAUGUCCAACUAGUAUCACUUCCCCCAACAAACAUGUCCUAAAUCAUGAAAUUAAAUAGCCAAAUCAAUCUUCAUCCAUAUAUAUUUUUAUUAGAAAAUUAGACGUAAAACCAAAAGUAUUAGGGUUUAUCAAUGUGCGCGUGUGUGUGGGUAUGCUCGUGCCUGUUCAAGAUAAAGUAAGUGAAUGAGUAUAAUGCGAGUAUGUAAGCUAGAGAGGGGGGGAUAUAGACCUGCAUAAGUCCUUUGACAUUGAACUCAAAAUCGAGCGAGCCAUCCUCUUCAAGGUCGAGGAGUAAAUCCACAAUAUCCUUCUUACGAGGCUUACCAUCUUUCUGCGCUGCUUUAUGUUCGUCAAGCAACUUAUCAUAAAAUCCAUCCAAUUCACGUCGAAUUGAUUUCAAACGUGCAAUGUAGCCUCUGGCAUGGUCAACCCAUUUCAAAGAAGGGUAGAAAUCUCCAAAGCUGAAAGUCAUCAUCUGAACCAUCAACUCCUUUAUGACCUUUUCAAACCAAUUGUCUUCUUUGUCCUCAAACUUCUGUCCAAGAACGCACCUACAGAUGAUGUUGUUGGAGGUUGACACCAGCAGCGGCCCCAGAUUGAUGGGAGCCCCGUUUGUGCUGGCGGAGGCUUUGCGAAUCUUGCUGACCAGCUCUGCACAUUCUUCCACCCUUGCGUACUGAAACUGCUGCACUCUUUUCACGCUCAGAAGCUCAAGAACAACCACUUUUCGAGCUUUUCUCCAGUACUCCCCGUAAGGAGCAAACGCAACGUUAUAGCCGUUGAAGAACAAUAUAGUUGCAGCUGUAGUUUGAGGCCGGCCAGAGAAACCAAUGUCUUGGUUCUUCAUCAUGUCCUUGGCCAGUUCUGCAGAUGAAACUACCAGCGUUGGAAGUUUGCCAAAGUGCAUGAGCAUUAUAUCACCAUACUUCUUCGACAGAUCACGAAGAGAGCGGUGUGGGAAUUUGCCUAGCUGGUGAAGGUUCCCAAUCAGAGGCAGUGUUGGUGGGGAAGGUGGCAGUUCGUAGUUUUUCCCACUUGAAGAUGAUCUUGUAAGUGAUAACAAAAUGUAUGCAGAAAGCAGGAGAAGAGGAAGCAGGAAAAUAUUGCUCUGAAGCUGUUGCCACAUUUCAUUGAAAAGUGAUAAUGCAGCCAUUGUUCUACUUUUUGCCUUUUGCUUUUGGCUGCUCACAUUAAAUUAAUAUAUGUGCCCUUCUUCUUCUUCUUUGUAUAGAGAAGCUGGCAUUGCAACUUGCAUGCGCCUACAAGGUUAGUUGUGAUCAACUUGUGAUGUCCAUGCCCCCCAAUUAUUUAAUGGGAUGCUUCGAUAUGGGUUCAUUUUUGAGUUUGCACUAUGAAUUCAGUUUAUCUUUCUUUUGAUGUAGAAUUGGGUCCAGCUCAGGCCAGCCAAGUAUGCAAAGCCUUGGCCAUUGUACAGUCAAUCCUCUGAAUUUUAUUAAUUACUGCAAUCAAUAAAUUAAUAUCACAUCUCUACGAUUAAUCUCAAUUUAUUAAAUGCUUUCAAUCUUUGAAUACCUUAUGAUGAGGUAUAUAUGUCUUUGGGUGGUUUGAUUUACCUGCUUUGCAGGUUUGUGUAUACCUCUUUCAUAGGUAAUUUCAUAUCAUAUAUCUCCUCCAUAGGUAAUUAAUAUAUACUUCCUCCAUAGAUAAAUAGCAUUCAGAUGUAUACCUCCUCCAUAGGUAAUUUACCUAUCCAUACCUAAUUAACAUUCAUGUAUAUUCCUAGUCCAUAGAUAAUUAUACCUCCUCCAUAGGACUACAAGAAGAAAAAGAAGGAAGAAGAAAGAUUGUGGGAAAUUUAGUUAUUUAUUUAUUGUAUCAGGGCAUGUUUAUGGGAUUUUCAAAAUUAAAAUGGAUGGACAAGAAAAUAUUUUAUAAAUUCAAAUCAUAAUUAACUAAAAGGUCAAAUAUAGUAAUUAUUGGCCUAAGAUUAAUUUCUCACUCUUUUAUGAAUUGCAAUCAGAAUCAAUAGUUGUAUUAAUUAGCUAAUUAUUAUGAUAUAAAUCAAUCUUCCCAAUUUAAAUCAUAAGGCAUAAUUGGAACAUGAAAAUAAAUGUAAAAAUAAAAAAUAUAUAUGAUUACAUCAUAAAAUUAGAAAAGGAAUGUAAUCCUAUGUGGCAUUAGAAGAGGACUUGGAUUACUAAUAAUACGUGUGUGGAUUGCACCCAAAUUCUACCGGAGAAAUUAUAGAAUGAUAUGGUAGUACCAUGUCAGCGUAUAGUACUCCCAUUUAAAUACAGCCACAUGUCCAUUUUAGAAAAGAAAUUAAUUACGUUUCACAACUGGACUUUUUAGUUUAAUUCUUAACUUUGGAAAUAAAAUUAGAAAAGAAAAAUUAAAAAAAGAAUUUCCUAACAGCCAACUAUCUCCUAACCCAACAACAACCCUAAUCCCAACUACCUGCUAUGAUGGCCACCCCUCUCCUUCCACUAUCUUCACCCCUGAUACUAAUUGUAGACAAGGGAUUUUAGAGGAAGGAGGAUUAAACUGGUAUUGAUGAUGAUGAAAUGGAGUAGUCUUGAUAAUUAAAAAUUGGUUCGUUCUUGAGGGUCUAUAUCUGGGUCUGAAAAUAUUCCAAGGUGGCAGUGGGUUGAAUUAACAUUGUGUAGAGUGUCAUAAGCGAAUUCAAAAAAAAUAUAUAUAUAUAUAUAUAUAUAUAGGGGAAUUAAGGAAGAUGAUGAUAUUAUUGGGUUUGGAUGUUGAUGGUUUUCAUGAGGAGCGGCGAUGGCAGUGGUGAAUAGAAAGAGAGAGGGGAGGAAGAGGAAGAGAGAAGGGUGGCUGCCAUGGUUUUUCUUCGUUUAAGUUUUCUCUUUUUCUAAUUUUAUUUCAAAACUUAAGAAUUAAUAAAGUAAAAAGUCUAGCUGUAAAAUAAUAAUGAAUUUCUUUUAUAAAAUGGACACAUGGCCGUAUUUGAGUGGGAGUACUAUACGCUAAUGUGGUAGUACCAUAUUAUUCUAUAAUUUCUCUAUUAUUAAGAAUUGGACUUAUACCAAAUUAUUUAUUAUUUAAUUAUAUACAAUAUUGAGAGAACUUGUUAGGUUCGUAACUUCACGGCCCUCCUGAAAUGAAUGUUGGGAAAUUACAUAAUGCAUUAAUUGAGCCGUUUUUACCAAAAUAAGGUGUCUUCCAAUUUUAGGUUUUAGCCUAGUUUCUUGUAUAGUUUUGUCUUUUUUAUUUUUAUUUAGUUACGUGCUUCAAUUAUUUUAUUUUUUUAUUUAUAUAAAUGAUAUUGAGGGAGGGUUUUUUCACACAUUGUAAUAUAUUAUGAGAAUUCGAACCUGAGACCAUUGAUUUGCAAGUUAAUGUCAUUUUCCACUGGGUUAGAUCUCCCUAAACCCUAUAAUAAUAAUACUCAAUUUGCCAGCUCCUAUUUAUCAUGUUUUAAUCAAGAUGAUGCUUAUCCGUCGGCUUAUGUGCUUCAUAUCUUGAUUGCACAAAGGGACUUUUUUAUUAUACGAAAUAAGAUAAUUUUUUGUUUUAAAAGUCUUGCUAUUUUUUCUCGUACCUUUCUUUGUGGUACCAACUAAAGAUAUAUAAAACUAUUAAUCUCUGUGCAUAAUUAAUUAAUUUGUCAAAUUGUCAAGAUGCACAUUGAAUUGAGGUCUCUCCAAACUCCAACUUGAUCAGUGUCAAAUUCACCACAAUCAAAAGGGAGGAAUUGAGUCACUUUCUUCCUUUACAUUCAGAACCAAGUAGGGCACUGCAAUCACUGACUUAAUCUGUAGCCAAAAGUAUUCAGCUUUUAAGGAGAAAAGGAUCAAGAAAAUGCGAUUUUGUGAUAGAGGCAAGUUUUAACAUGGAUUGAGAUGCCAAACCACAUGUGAGGCUUUCACCAACAACAUUUUCUUGCAUUAAAAGAAUCUCUAUGGGGACAAAAGAGGCCUUAAGACUUUUUCUACUUAAAGCAUAUGGUUUUUCCAUAUGAAUAGACUAAGAACCAUUCCUAUAUGAAUAGACUCGUACAAUUGUAUUUGAGUGUCAGCUAUUUUAAUAUAUUAUUUUUUAUACAAGUGAUAUUCUACUUUAAUUUAAUCUAUAUUAUAAGAAGAGUGAUUUGAACUCAGAUGCAGAAUAAAAAGCAUAUUUUUUUUUUUUGCGAAAGAAGAGCAUAUUCAUUUUAGUCAACUUAACAAAGCCCAUAUGUGCAAUUAUUUUUCACAAUUAAACAACUCAAUUUGAGGUAGGAAUUUUCCUUAUACAAUUAAAUUGCUUGCUUUGCUGCAUGCAAUUUCAUUUCCAAAAAGUAUAUGCAUGGCCUAGCCAUUAUGUCUUUCAAAUCAACUGCUCAUCAUGGGGCAUCUUUUCAAGAAAUUAUUAAUCGUACCUAGCAUUGUCAGCAAGACGUUAGGGCUGUAAUUAUGUGAAGAGCGAUGUUUGCCAAAUCAAUUAUAUAGGGAGGACCUACUGCAAAACUACUUGUUCUUUGUUUUUUUAGGUCUGAAGUCCAUCUACUUGUUCAGUCCACGCCAAUGAAGUGUAGUCUAUCCAAAAUAGGAAGGGUGCUCCAGUUUAGACGCAAGUACUAUUUGUUUUUUUUUGGUCGAAAGGCGUAAGUACCAUGUGCAGGGUUUUGGGUUUUUCUUUGUAGACAAAAACAUUGAAGUAUCUAAAACAUAAUUGUUCUGACUAUUGAAAAAUUAGACAAAGGGGAAAUGAUUCUUAUGCCAAAAUGAAUUUCAACAUCACUUUCUACUGACAAAAUUUCAUUUGCUUGUAUCGAAGCUUUCAUUGAAAUUUAUUAAUUUUAACGAAAUUAGAAUAUGUCAUUUGUCACGUCAUUUGGUGAAUAAAAUUUAAAAAAAAUGUAGUAAGAUGCCAAGCCACAUAUAGGGAUGGCAACGGGUCGGGUAGGGGUUGGGUAUGACGAUACCAUCCCCGUUCUCGCUCUCCAUCCUCGCCCCUAUCCUUGAACCCAUUCCCGUUUAAUCGGUUUCGACGAAUCCCCAUCUCCGUCCUCAUCGGGGGACUAUCCCUCCUACCCGCCCCGAAUCCCUGAUUUUUUUUGCAUAAAAAAAAUAUUUAUCAUACAUUUUUACAUUAAAUUUUAUAUUAAAUUAUCAUUCAACACAUCCAAAUUAACUAUAAAGUUCAACUAAAAAUCACAUCAAUAUGAAAUUCCAAAGAAAAUUAGGAAGAAUUAUGGGAGGGAGGUUAACUUAGGGUUAAACAUAAAUAUUGUAAUUAUAUAUUUAUUUAUUUAAAUAUAAACAUAUAUAUUUUCGGUUCGGGUUCGGAGAUGGGGACGCCAAUACCAUCCCCUCCCCAUAUUCGUCGGGGAUUUUUCAAGUUCGGGGAUCUCCAUACCCGAUACUCGUUUGGUCUCGAAAUCUCCUCUCUUUUGGGUCGAUGAUAGGGAUGGCAACGGGUCGGGUAGGGGCUGGGUGUGAUAAUACCAUCUUCGUCCCCGCUCUUCAUCCCUGCCCCCGUCCUCGAAUUCAUCCCCGUGUAAUAGGUUUUGGGGAAUCCCUAUCCCCGUUCCAGUCGGGGGACUAUCCCCCAUACUCGCCCCAAAUCCCCAGAUUUUUUUUUUGCAUAAAAAAUAUUUAUCAUAUAUUUUAAUAUUAAAUUUCAUAUUAAAUUAUUAUUUAACACAUCCAAAUUAACUAUAAAGUUCAACUCAAUCAUUCAAAAUCACAUUAAUAUGAAAUCCCAAAGAAGAUUAGGAAGAAUUAGGAGAGGGAGGUUAACUUAGAGUUAAAUAUAAAUAUUAUAAUUAUAUAUUUAUUUAUUUAAAUAUAAACAUAUAUAUUUUCGGGUCGGGUUUGGAAAUGGAGACGCCAAUACCAUCCUCUUUCCAUACCCAUCGAGAAUUUUUCAAGUUCAGGGAUCCUGUACCCGAUACCCAUUUGGCCUCAAAAUCUCCCCCCAUUAGAAUUCGGGACCCACCCUGGCGGGGAUUUUUGCCAUCCCUAGCCACAUGUGAGGCUUUCACUAACAACGUUUUCUUGCAUUAAAAGAUUCUCUAUGGGGACAAAAGAAGCCUUAGACUUUUUCUACUUAAAGCAUAUGGUUUUUCCAUAUGAAUAGACUAAGAACCGUUCCUGUAUAAAUAGACUCGUGCAAUUGUAUUUGAGUGUCGGUUAUCUUAAUUUAUUAGUUUUUAUACAAGUGAUAUUCUACUUUAAUUUAAUCUAUAUCAUAAAAAAAGGGAUUUAAACUUGAAUGCAGAAUGGGAAGUACAUUCAUUUUAGCAAAUUUAACAAAGCUCAUAUGUGCAAUUAUUUUUUACAAUUAAACUACUCAAUUUGAUGUAGGAAUUUUCCUUAUACAAUUAAAUGCUUGCUUUGCUGCAUGCAAUUUCAUUUCAAAAAAGUAUAUGCACGGCGCAGCCAUCAUGUCUUUCAAAUCAACUUCUCACCAUAGGGCAUCUUUUCAAGAAAUUAUUAAUCGUACCUAGCAUUGUUAGCAAGACAUUAGGGCUGUAAUUAUGUGGAAAGUGAUGUUUGCCAAAUCAAUUAUAUAGGGAGGACCUACUGCAAAACGACUCUGUGUGAAACCCAUCUACUUGUUCUUUGCUUUUUUUUAGGUCUGAAGUCCAUCUACUUGUUCAGUCCACGCCAUUGUAGUCUAUCUAAAAUGGGAAGGGUGCCCCAGUUUAGGCGUAAGUACUUUUUGUUUUUUUUCGGUUGAAAGGCGUAAGUACUAUGUGCGGCGUUUUGGGUUUUUCUUUGUAGACAAAAAUAUUGAAGUAUCUAAAUCAUAAUUGUUUUGACUACUGAAAAAUGAAAAAUGCUAGCAACCUUCUUUCUAACAUUUUCUUUUGGACAUUUUCUUUUCUUUGCUUGACAUGUGUCAUUCUCCUUACACUUAAAACAAUGUCAUUAAUAUAUUAUACAAGCUAACUUUUGCUUUUCAAGUUUACCCUUAUUAAAUGUAUUUAAUUUAUUCAAAAAAAAUUCAGAACUUUCUUACAAUAUCUUAACAUUGAAGUAUCUAAAUCAUAAUUGUUUUGACUAUUGAAAAAUUAGACAAAGGGAAAAUGAUUCUUAUGCCAAAAUGAAUUUCAACAUCACUUUCGAUCGACAAAAUUUCAUUUGCUUAUAUCGAAGUUGGCAUUGAAAUUUAUUAAUUUUAAAAAAAUUAGAAUAUAUCAUCUGUCACGUCAUUUAGUGAAUAAAAUUUUUUAAAAAUCUUUCGGUGCCUCUAUAUUAUUAAGGCAUCAAAUAGUGCAAAUCAUGACAUCUUAUUUCAAUGUUCAUUAACAGACCUUCAUACAAUCAAGGCAUCGGAUGCAAGUAGGGUGGUCCCUUUCUCAACCCAAUAAUAUGAGUUCAAACAUUAUAUGUGGAACACAAUAACACUCCUUUUAAUCAUUCAAUCUAAAAGGGUAUAUGCGACAGCUGGCCAAGAGGUAUAUUCCAUGUACACAAAAUGUUACUUUCAAUUUCAACUACAUGCCAAUAUUUCUACAGCGAAAAUUCCAAUUAAACAUGCAAAAGGAAAAUGAAAUGUGAUGUGAUGUACUACCUAGGGCUCGUCAAUGAGCCGGGCUGGGUUAGCCAGGCCCAAAUUUAAUGGACUUGAGUCAGACCGGAAUUUUUUAGAAAAUUCAAAACCCAAGUCCGACCCAUGAACCGGACUUGAGAAAGUCCAUCGAACCAAGCCAAGCUAAGCCCAACAGGCAGGGCCUAAACAGGCCCUACUUCAUUAAAAAAAAUCGUAAACUUAAUCAUAAGGACAUUUUAGUCCAAAUUUGAGAUUAAACUCACUUAAUUCCAAUAUUUUCACAUCAAAUCAAAUUCAUAAAACACCCAAUAAAGUCAUACAACUUAUAAGAUUUUCCACAAAAAUAAUAAAACCAAGUAUUAUUUUUGAUGUUAUUACAUAAUUAGAUCGUAAUACGUUUUAAGAAAUAAUUUUAAAAAAUAAUAAGUAUCAAAAAAAUAUUUUUUUAAAGGAUGGUAUGAAUAAAUAUGCAAAUAUUUGGUGAUGUGUUCAAGAAAAGCAUGAUUAUAUUUGGUGGUACGAUUAUGUUUCGUGAUAUGAUUAUAUUUGGUGAUGUGAUAUGUUGUUCAUCUUAUUUAUAUAUAUAUAAUUGUUGAAUUAAUAAUUGACACAAAUUAAUGUGCUAAUCAUCCAAUUAUAAACUAGGAAUAAGUAAAUAAAAGUAAAUAAAAUGAAACAAAUUAUAUAUGUGAUUUAAGUGAUAUAAUCAUAAACCUAAACUCUUAAUUAUAUAUAAUUAUAUAUGUAUGCGGGCCUAACGGAUCGGGUUUUUGUGGGCGGGCCGGGUCGGGCUUUCUUGGGCUUAAUUGGACCGGGCCUAUGAGUCGGGCCGAGCUUUAGACACCCAAGCCCAAGCCUAGCCCGGCCUAAGGCGGGCCGGGCCAUCUCAAAGCUCAUAACGGGCCAGGCCGGGCUUUUUUUCGAUGGGCCGGGUGAGCCCCCAUCAGCCCAUGAGCCUGCGGGCCAAAUGAUGAGGCCUAGUACUACCUGUAGUGUCUAUUUGGAUAGAAAGAAGAAUAGAAAAUUCGGUAUAAGUCCAAUUCCUAUGAUAGAAUUUGGGUACAAUCCACAUAUUUGUUGUUAGUAAUUUAAGUCCUCUGACUUUUGUGCAAUGUAGGAUUACUUACCUCUUUUUUUUUUCAUUUCUAAGGUUUAUAUUUUAUUUUCUUAAUUUUUUAAUUUAUGUUGUGCUUCCAAUUUUGCCCCUAAGAUAGAAAUCAAGUAACCUAAAACAGUAAAAUAUCAAAAAUCGCGUUAAACAAUCCUCAUACGACAAGAAUAGAAAGAAUCGCAAAAAUCGUAUCUUUCACAAUCAAUUAUGGUCCUGUCAAGCCGUUUCUGUAAAUUUCAUGCUUCUUAAUUGCCGAGGGUUUUGGGUUUCAUUUUAGAGUUGAAUUUGCAUUUCGUCUUCUUCAAUUGCAGCCGGGGGAAUUUGCCGUCAUUUGGGGAUUCUCACCUUGCUUCUCCAUCAAUUGCAGUGCCUGUGUUCCAGGUACACUAUUAGAGGUUACCUAUGCCAUAGGUACACUGUUAGAGGUUGCCUUUAGCUGUGGAAUUAUGCUGCUAGAGAUGCAAUUAGCAAGGCUAAAACCAUGGAAAUAUGACUUCUAUGUACUAGCCAUAGCUGUUUGACUCGGCUAACCCAUUGCUUAUUCAUAUCAGCACGAUUAUUUAGAUAUCUAUGUCCAGUUCCCUUUUUAUACAUAUGACUUAUGUAAUGAGAAGUCUGCUAUUUGUAUUGUAGAUUAAUCUUAACUAAAAGCAUCUAAAAACCCAGCUGGAACAGCAGAAGUUCGCUCCUAACUAUUUCAUUUGGUGAUACAGUGUUUGAUGCAUGGUAUGUUAUAGGUUAUUUAUCAAAUUCAUAAAACUUUCUAAAUGUAGAAGCUUUAGAGGUGAUCGUGAUUGCGUGAAUUCAUUUGCUGUUUUUGGCUAGAGUUAUGAUUUGUACUAGCCCAAAUGUUUUGUGUGCAAAUGUCAUGAUCUGUACAUAUAUAUUGCAUUUAAUUUUUCCUCUCUCCCUCCUUCAUGUUAAUGACUUAAGAUUAUACUUGUGAGUUUUACAGUCAUGUUCUUGUUUUGUCCAAGCAGUUAUGUAAAUCUUCAUUUGUGCCUUCAUUAUUGUAGGGCCUUUUUCGUUCCGGCAACUACUGAUGGGUCUAGGAUGCUGUAAAGAGCCAAAUGUGUGAAAUUGUCCAGAGUCUAAGUUUAAGAAUCAGACCGUAAGAGUGCUUCGAAAAGGUAGCUGAGCCUUAGGAAACACCUUGGUCUUCUUCACCAAUGAAACCAACAGUUGCUUACAGAUAAAUUCUUGGCUUAGCUUGAGAAGCUUGUGGCAUGAAAGCUAAACAUUCAUGAAUUUAGCAUGAGAGAGAGAAAGUGUAACAUCUAGAAAAAAAAAAAAAAAAAGAAGAAGAAGAAACCUGUAAGCCAAACAUUCAUUAUUCCAUUCAUUCUUCCCCCUCUUCCCUUAGAUUCUCUUCAAAAAUCUGAUUUUGGGAUGAGUUGUUCAUCUAUUUGGGGUGAGUCACCUAGUCUAGGUUAAGGAUAUUAAUUUCUUAAACAAAGAUAAGAUUGGGGAUGAAGGGGAUGAAGGAAAUGAAAUUUGGGUGAGGCAGAGAAUGGAGAAUAGGGGGAAGAGAAGAAAAAAUUCUCUAAGGUGAGUCAAUUUAGAAUUUGUGAUUUUUAACUUUGUGUUUGUGUGUUUCUAGUGCCUUAAAGAGUAUUUUGAGUCAUUUGAGUGAUGGGGAAAUUGAAUUGGAAGAGUUUGAAUUUCUAUUUUUGGGUAGGGUGCGUAGAGUAAUUUUUCAAGUGUGGGUGUUUAUGAUUUCGGUUUCAUUUUGAGUUUUUUUAUGAGUUUUAAUGAUAGGUAUGAACUUUAGAAGAGUUUUAGAAGCUAUAGGAACAACUUGGAAGUGAUAGAAUGGUUAAAAACAACUUAGAACCAAAUCUGAAAAUUUGGAUUUUCUGGAAAUUUGCAGUCCUCGAGCCUUAUUUUGGCUCUAUUUUUCUCCCAAUCCUUUGAGUGUUUGAGGAAGACAUUUGUUGGGUUUUAAACUAGACUUGGCAAGGAACAAAACACAAUCGGUUUUGUGGAAUUUGGUUGAGUUUUUAUAGGUCAAACACAUGUGCAUAGUUUGGAAAACAAAUCUGUUUUCUGCAAAAAAAACAGCCACGAGUCCAACUUUGGAGCUAGUUUUCUCAUUCGUUUUAUCUCCUUUUGAGUAUGGUUUGUUGGGUUAGAAACUAGAGGAAAUAAGCUUCAAAACCACUACAAGUUUGCCCAAUUUUGUUAACGUUUGGCUGGUCAAAAUGUCUCACAAAGUCUGAAUUUUUAAUCUGGAAAAACGGGAAGUUGCAGAUUUUUAGGGAAGAUGAUGAACAGUAACCGAAAACAAGCCCACUCGCCACUAGCGGACCUAGUAAGGCGUAAGGAGGUGCAGAUGCACCUUCCCUCGCCGUAAAACCAUUGUAUGUGCUUUGCCCCUUUGCUCAACUGGUGUACAGAUUACCUUAUUUUCAUUUUCAACAUUUAAGUAAAUGUCUUUGUCCUUUUACUUUUAUAUAUUUUUAUAUUACUCAAUUUACUUAAGUUUACAAUGUAAAUAAGGAAGUACUCCCCAUUUGAAUUCAAAUAAAAAUACUAGAAAAUCAAAUUCCCACCAAAUCAAAAUAUGAAAAUUCGAUUUUAGUGCAAAAUAUGAUUUAGGCUAAAAAUGAUAGCCUAAAUCAAGUUUUCUAUUUGAUGUGUAAGGAAUAAAAGCCACCAAAAAUUAUCUUGAGAAAAUGAUUAUUCCGAAAAACCAUUUUUCAUACGUACUCAAUAUUACACCUCCGCUAAAAAAUUUCUGGGUCCGCCAGCGCCACUCGCGGCUCCAGUGAGUGGCGGCACGUGGUGGCUGUUUCGGCAGCCUCCGACGCCAUAUUUUUAGUCCAUUCGACUCGAUUUCUCAAUUUGCGUUCAAUGGUAUAUGUUUUGAGUCAAUCCAUGGUGGUGCAAAGUAUGGAUUGUUGUGGGGCCCACGAGACCCAAACUAGUAACUUUUGGAUAACGGGUGUAGUUGGCCUUUUUUCGGUAUUGACAGGGCAUAGGACAGAGUUUUAGAUUAUUUUGGACGAGAUUUGGCCUCUUUGGACCCCGGGUUGGUCCUAAGGGCAUUUUCGUCAUUUUCACGCAAAAUCUUUGAAAUGCAUAAAGUUGAGGUUGGACUUAGGUGAAAUAAAGUGAAGAUUACUCAAUAAUAAUUUGGAUUUGAAUUUGUUCAGGAAUUAGAUCAAAAGUGUAGAUUCGACAAUUCCGAGAAUCUCCGAAGGGUAAAUUUGGUACUUUAGCUAGUUGGACAUGAGGUAGGGUUUCCUGAUUCCCGAUGAUUGGGCUAUAUCCCUUUUAAUCUUGGUGCUUAUAUAUAAUACUAUAAAUAUGAAUAUUAUUGUUGCUUUACUCGGUGAAUAUUAUUUGAUGUUAUGUGAAUAUUAUUAUUGAUGUUCCUCCAUGGAUAUUAUUUUUUAUGUUGGAUGAAUAUAAUUAUUCAUGUGAUUAAGCCUAAUAUAUAUUAUUGUUAUUAUUUGUGUUAUUAUUCUGCAGAGAUAAAUGAGGUUUGCACUGCAUUACAUAUGCAUCAUAAAGAUAGUGGUGUUUGGGGGUGUGUGUGUGUCGUUUGAGGUAUAUCUAAGGGGUGGGAGAAGGCCUUAAAUAUAUCUGAGUAAUAAAAAUGUGAAAUAAAUUCAAGUGAUGGGAGUAGGACUUGAAUAUUGAGGUGAUGGGAGCAGGGCCUCUAAUGAAAAGUGAAAGUUGAGAAAUUCGUAAACAAAAGAAAACUGGGUUAAGGGAUGGAUGGGCGCUAGUUCAUAUUUUAAGGGUAUUCGGAGCCACAAUGGUAACAUGCAUGGUAUGGGACAUGCAGGCUUGUUGCCCUAAGGUAUGAAUUAGUAGGAUUAGAAGGGAGUGAGUUCAUGGCAUCACUGCAUAUGCAAAUUUAUUUAUCUAGUAUGGUUGUAUAAUUUCUGUAUCUUGUGUUGUUUGUUGUAUGACACUUUGAUUAACUAUGAUAGUUGACCUUGAGGGGUUUGACAGUACUCUAUUGGGUAUUAGAAUGCUCAUACCCUAAUAGAUUGUGCAGGAUUCAAGGUGAAGUUUGAGGAAACGGGUUUCAACCAAGCUACUAAACUUUUGUUGUUGAUUUGUGUAAUUAAUAAUUGUAAGUAGUCAACCAUUUGAUAAAGAUCUUAGUGUGUAUUUAACUACGAGCUACUGCGACUCUGAUUCUGUGUUAAGUAAAUUUGUAUUCAUUUGUGGCUCUUUUUCUCAUUAUAUCAUGAUUGUAGGAUUUUAUUCUUAUGACUAUGGUAUGACUCACACCCUGAUUCGGGAAUAUUCCUUAUUUUCGAAUCGGGUCGUGACAGAAAGACCAGGUUUUCUACGAGAAACAGAGGUUAAAGCAAAGGAUUUCGUGAGAAUUUGCUUAGGAGAACUGCAAAUUCUACUAAUCUCCACAGUAAGGCUAUUAUUAACAUUUGGAGAGUAGAAAAUUUGAGACUUCUCAAAACUUAUAACCUGGCUAGAAGCUAGGCAAAAUCUAUCAAGACAUCUGAUUGGGGGUGGUGAAAAUUCACCUAACCCGAGCACCUUUCGAAAAAACAAGCUCCGAGCAUGAAGAAUGGCAGCCGGGCUUAAGGAGUUGCAGCCAGGCUUGAGUAGCGACCGGCCUGAAGAAGUAUCACGGCCGACCUUGGAGAAGUUUGGCGGUCGGGUCUUGGAGUUUUCGAGAAGAACGGUCGGGCGUGAAGUUUGGCCACCGGGAAAGAAGUUUGGCAGCCGAGUCUCCAAGAGCUUGGCUGCCGAGUUUGCAUCAGCUGGAAGUUGGAGUGGCAGCCGGGCUUGGAGCAGCUAGAAUCUAGAAGAGCUGCAGCCGGGCUUCUAGUGGCCGAGGCCAUUGGAGCUAGAGUGGCCGGAACCCAGAGCUGGUGCUGGGCUGAAGAAAUCCGGAUUGUACUCAAUGCAAUCGGUUUGUGGCUUUGAGGAGCUGUAACAUUACAGCUGGAAAAGUAUGGUUAGAGAGAUUUUAGUUGGAGUACUCUUUAGUUUAUAUAUAUAUAUAUAUAUAUAAUAAAAGUGAGUGGCCAUUUAAUAGGGUUGGAGGUUUGAAAGUAAUUUGGGCCUUUAGAACUCAAGAGCUCAAAUCUCAUGAGGGUCAGCCCCAUAUAAUUCCAUGGAGCCCAGAGGUCCAAGCCUAAGCCACGGAAUCACGCCCAAGAUUUCCAGACGUCAGUGUGCACGUGACGGAAGGCCUCACAAAGAAAGAAAUCAAAGAGGUUGAUGACAAUUCAAAAUUUUCUAAAACGAGAGAAAAUCAAGCAACCAUAAUAUCUCUGCCAACGUGAUUCAUAGCUAGAAAGGAAAGAAUUUUAAAAGAGUUGAAAUUUGGCCAUUCAAUGGCUAGCUCAUGCCAAUGGGCACCCUAUAUAAACCUCACCAAACGAAGGUAGAAGACACACAUCAUUAGACACAUAAAUCUAUUUUUCGUCUCACACUUUUCUUUUCCUAGAUUUAGGGUUUUACUUUUCAAGCGCCUAGUGUAGCGAGUUCUUCCUUUUUUCUAGUGUAAGUUUAAAUUCUUGUUCAAUUUACAUUCCUUGUCUUUUAAAUUCUAGUUUGUUUCAAUUGCUUUACUUUUCAUUGUUAUCGCACUUUCAUUAAGUUUAAUUUCAAGUUUAAUUUAGUUUGUCGUUCUUAUUGUUCUUAUUUCUUUCUUGUUUAUUUAUCACCUUGAUAUAUUUUAUCAUACUUUAAUUCUCGUCUUUACAUUAUUUAUUUUACGCACUUUACUUUACUCAUUUAUCUUUAAAUUAUAUUUAAAUUUAAGCAGCUUUACUUUAUGCACUUGUUCUUCGUUUCAUUACGUUGACCUUCAAUCUUCAUCUUCACACACUCCACGUCCUUUGGUUGCUCACAUAAAGGCUUGACCCCGAAGUAGUGAAAGAACUUAUGCCAUGAGGAGGUUCUUUGCUCGGCCGAACAAUCGUUUGAUUAAAGUCAGAUCUCGGACACAACAUGCACUCACAUUCCAUUCAAGCCAAAUUCGUGGCUUGGUGGUAGCACGCCCUGCACUCAAAAAAGAAGAAGGACCAAAAGUUCCUUCCAUCGGCCGCCUUGGCCGAAAAGAGGGAAACAACAUUGCUUCAUCACUCUAGCCUGUCUUGUACUAGCUUUAGCAAAAAAGAGCAGAUCAUCCGCAAAACACAGGUGGGAGAUCUUAGGGCCAUUUCUAGAGAUAUUUCCUAAAAUAUGAGAAUUAUGAGAGAAUAUUUCUUUGUGGGUAUUUUCUAUGUAUUCUUCUCCUUGUAGGAGGUCAUAUUUAUAAUACAACGAAACCUGAAUGGGCAAGUAAAUAAUAAAUUCCUAAAUCUAUUUAGAGUAGGAAAUUAUGAAUUAAAGUAAAUCAAUUACAAUUAUAAUGGGAAUUCUUGGUGUGUAAGGAAAGUAAGUCAAUAGUCCAGAAGUCACGCCAACACUCCCCCUCACGUUGGUGCAUAGAUGUCGCCAAUGCCCAACUGAUCCAGUGAAUUGUGGAAUACUUUACUGAAAAUUGCCUUUGUCAAAAUAUCUGCCAAUUGAUCCUCGGAUAUUUUGACAAAGUGUCGAUCCACGAAAAGAAACUGAAACACUUUAGCCUCAAGCUUUUGUUUGAUAAAGUGUCGAUCCACCUGUGUUUUGGUGUGUAAGGAAAAUAAGUCAAUAGUCCACAAGUCACGCCAACAAUAUUGACAGCUCUCCACUCUUUCUUGACAACAGCCUCACUAAUCAUGUGAGAAAGUUUCUCAAGACACCAAAAACAAAUACGGUGACAGGGGAUCCCCCUCUGUCUCACUCCUCUUGCAGGAACAAAAGGCGGGGUAGCUUCACCAUUCACAAGAAUCUGGAACUAAACCGUGGAGACACAUUGCAUGAUCAAUUGGAUUGUAGACUUAUGAAGAUUGAUCUCUCUAAGAACAUACUCCAGAAAAUUUCAGUUCACUCUGUCAUAAGCUUUAAAGAUGUCAAUUUUCCAAGUGAUAAAACCUUUUUUCACUCAAAGAAAAAACAAACUUCCACUCUCUCUCUCUCUCUCUCUCUCUCUCUCUCUCUCUCUCUCUCUCUCUCUCUCUCUGUAUAUCAGGUUCUACAUUUCUCAGGAAGCUAUUAACUUGUUAUUAAAUGGUUCCUUGGGAUUGAUAUUCCAAAAUAGUUUAACAUCCUUUCCUGCCUUAGCAAUCAUAUUUCACACACUAAUGCAUGUUUUUCAGCGUGAUGUGGUAUUAGUUGAACUUCAAUAUUACAGAACUCUUGGUUCAUGCUCAUCACUGAACCUGAAACCUAGGAGUUUUUGUUUGGGAAUGUAACCAGGAAGAUCAAAAUAUACCAAACUUUUGCUCAUCAGGUAAAUAAAUUGUGUAGCUCUUAUUCUUGUUAUUAACUGUUAAAUUAAAAUCUCCACGUCAUCCUGUUUUUUUUUUUUUUUAACUGUUUGGUAACACCACUUUGCCAUCCAUAAACUAUAACUAUUCUUCUCCCUAAGGGAAUUUUACUAGGAAAUUAACCAUCUGGUAUGUAAAUCAUGUUUCAGAGUUCACAUUUAAACACAACCUUUAAACUUGGACAAUAAAUUAUAGGACCGUUGCCAAUGACCCGACGCCAUCUAUAACAAGUGUGGCUUGAACUGUUCUUGAAUUAGAAAGCAAAUUUAAAAAGCUCCAUUACUUAGCAUGUAAGUUAUGUUUCAGAGUUCAAUUGGAAAAAAUUAUGCUAUCGUUGGCAACUGUCCCUUGCCAUCUAUAACAAUCCAGGCUUGAACUUUUGUUGAAUUUAGGAAGCAAUUUAAUUAGCUUCACUACUCAAAAUGCAAAUUAUGUUUUUAAAUUUCAAAUUCAAACAUUAGGAAGCAAUUGAAUAAAUUAUGUGGCUGUUGCAACGGUCCCCUGCCAUAUUCGAUAUCUUCCAUUUUUAUCAUCUAUGACUUGAAAAGGCAUAACAGGGUAAUUAAGCUAACUCUAGUAUAAAUCUGCUCAAUUGUUCAAGUUAUCCAUCAUUGUGUGUUUGCUAAACCACAGCCUUAUUCAGUCGGGACAAUAAGAAAUAUGGCUGCAGCCCCUUCCCCAAGGAUGCUAAUCACUAAUAAGGGACCAUGUGUCCGCUACAUUGCUUGGACUCCACCCUUGAAUGGUUUCUGGAGGCUCAGCUUCACAGGUCAUUACAAGCACGAAUCAAAGACUGCUUCAGUCGGUUGCAUUAUGAGGGAUCACAAUGCUGUAUUUAAAGCUGCCUUUGAAUUAGGAGUGUGAGGCUCCGACAUGUCAACAUGUAUGGUAAUUUGGCUGCGAACUUGCUCGCGAGAAUUCCUUUGCAGCCUCAACAAGAGAGGUCUUGGUCCAGAACAAAUAAGUGGAAUUCUAGUGAGGGAUGUGAUCGGUCGUUGGAUACCUUUCUCAGACCUAUGAGUGAGUCAUCAUUUGGAUGACACAGAAGGACUUCGUAGACUUGUUUCUUCAAGGAAAAAUCUGUUAAGUUGCUUUUCCUUUUUGCUAAGUAGCAGUUUGCUUAGUAAUGAUUGUGAAAAGCCUUUGAUUUUUCUAAUCUCUUCCUUAAAGAAUUAAGAUGUGUGAACAUGUAACUACUAAGAACGAAAGUCAUCUGCUUAAUCUCACAUUUAAUUUUCCUUUUCUUCCUUCGUAGUUUACUUGUAUUCGCUGACCUUUCCGGUACUAACCAUGACCCCUAUCUGUCAAAACCAAGUUCAAAUAAGGGAGAAUUUUUAAGGGGAUAGAUUGAUGACUUUUGGGGGAGUUUUUUCUUAGUAAAACUUUUGUGGUUUUACUCAAUAACCAAGUUACUUUUUUUACUCGAUUUGGAUUUUUGCCUAUUUUGUCUAGAACCAAUUACGUUUGACAGGGAAACAAUUAUUAAAUAUUUCUUAGUCCAGUAGUACUUCUCUUCUCAAUAUUAAAAGAGAGUCGAAGUUUGAAUCCCUUCCCUAUAAACCAAAAAAAUGAUUAUUCCUGAAGCACUGACACUUUCUCAAGACUAAGCAUAUGAUAUGCGAAAUUACUUACUGACUAGGAUCUUGAUUUCUUAAGAACAAAAUGGAAAUUAAAAACCCAAAAAGCAAAAAAAAAAAAAAAAAAAAAAAAAAAAAAAAAAAAAAAAGAAGAAGAAAAAGUUAGCUGGGAGAUUAUCUGGGCGUUAAUAGAACCAAGCCAGUGGGCCAAAUCAAUCAUAUUAGAUUAUUUUGGGCCUGGGCCCGAUUAAAAAAGAUUUGGUCAGACACAUCACGUUUGUUUUUGGCCGUUGGACAUCAUAUUCAGAUGUUAUUAUAGUCAAAAGACUUUAAGAAAACACUAACACCCAAGCCAACGGUAACUUUCUUGUCUCUGUCUUCUCCUUCCCCUUUCUGUCUUCCCCUUUGCUGCUCCAAAUUCCAAUUAAAACCCCAAAACCAAACUUCACCAACACAAAAGUUCUUAGCUUUACAUCACAAAUGGCAUUAAAAGAAGCAGCUUCACUCACUUCACUGAAACAACAAGAACAAGAAGAAGAAGAAGAAAGAGAGAGGUUCAUAGUUUUGAGCAGCACUUGCAAAGUGGUGGAGUAUUUACAGCCAGUGAUGUCAAAAGAGCUUCUCUGCAAGUUUCCAGACAACUCUGCUUUCGAUUUUGACUACACUCAGAGUUCAAUAUGGUCCCCUUUGGUCCCUCGAGCUCAUGCUCCCAUGGAUUUGGACUUGGAUUUCGAUUUCAUGACGCCAAGGAAGCUCAAUUUCGAGAUGGGGUUGGAGUUGGAAAGUCAAAGCAGCAUCAAGAAAGUCAGUUCUAGUAUUAAGAAGAAGAUCUCCACCGCUGGAUUUAAUAUUAGCAGGAGUGCGUUGAAGAACAAGAAGAAGAAGAAGAAGAAGAAGAAGAGCAAGAUGGCAUUGGCUUCUGAUUUCUCUCCAACUCCUGUUAAGGUUCAUUGUAACCCCUUAGCCUCAAAGGUACUGCCUUUUUCAUCUGGGUUCUUAGAUCUUUCUUUUUUAUUUAUUUAUUUUAUAUACAUAUUUUUAUAAGCUGAAAGAAUCUGGGUUAGAGCACAAGGUUUAGAUCACUGAAUCUGAGAUUACCCUUUUGAGAUUUUCUCUGAAAAUGAUCUCAAUUUACAAGCUAUUUGAAGUAAAAAUAUGAAAUUUUUGGGGAAAGAGAUGAGAAUUUAAGGCAACCCAUAAAGAUGCAGUUGUUAGCAUCAAAGUUUUGGGAAUUUGUUUUCUGCUUUAGCGCCAAUUUCUCUGUUUUGCAGGGGAAGAACUUAGAACUAAAAUCAAUCUGGUGACUGGAUUUCUAACAUAUGAAGGUUCUGUCAUUUGUGUUCAGGUAUGGAAUAAGGUGCUAAAAGCUGCCUCUAAACAUUUCAAGAAAAAGAAGAGAGAUCCCAUGGACCAUGUGAGGCUCUCCAAUUAUCUGAGAGAUGGAAAUAUUUGAAGGCUUCCCCCAUUUGUAAUUCUUUUUUGUUUCAUUAAUUUAUUUAUUCAUUUAAUUGUCUUUUUAACCUGCAUUCUCAUUAACAGCAACAUUAUUAGCAUUUGGAGUUAAACAUUCCUCCAAAACAUUUAUGCCACUUAGAAAGAGAUUUAGUUAGAGCGGAUGUAUUUUGCACUUGGGUUUAAAUCCCUAAUUACAGAUUAGAUUAAAGUAGAACGUAAGAUUUACUCAAGCAAAGCAAACCACGCAUUCAUAAAAGUCUGCACUAAAAUUGUGACCCUGCACACAAAAUCAACUGCUUUAAUUAGAACUUGCCAACAUAACCUCAAUCAAGCUUUCAAAUGAAGCAGAUGAAGACCCCCCAUUACCAACAGCCCUCCUACACGCUCCACUCAUCUCCUGCACCUUCUUCCUCAGCUCAUCAUUACCGUCCAUCACACACCUCACAGCCCUCUCAAUCUCAUCAGCCACCACAAAAUGAUCUACACCGUCCUUUCUGUAGUUCAAUCUCAGCUCCACAGCCAGCCCCAAGUCCCUCACCAUCUGAAACGCAUUGAUCUGCUGCUCCGCAUACAGAGGCCAAGUCACAACAGGCACCCCAUGCCACAGGCUCUCCAUUAUUGAGUUCCAACCACAGUGUGACACGAAGCCCCCCACCGCCCUGUGGGCCAGGAUCUCCACCUGUGGGGCCCACCCACAUAAAAUCCCGACCCCACUGGUCCUCUCCAAGAACCCUUGAGGCAGAAACUCCUCGUGACUUGUGUGCUCCUCUAGCACCACAAACUUGCCCUUGGGCGGGUCUUUGCGCACGGACCACACGAACCUCUGCUUACUCUGCUCUAAGCCAAUAGCAAUCUCUCUCAGCUGGGCCUCAUCAAAGCUCCCAGAGCUCCCAAAGCAGAGGAACACCACUGAUCUUAAAGGCUGAUCGUCAAGCCACAUCAUGACUUUGUCAAAUUUGCUCUGAUGAUCAGAAUGCUGCGCAGGAUGCUCGCCUAUCAGGGGCCCAACUGUGUAAACAGGAGGGGUUUCACCAUCCGAAAGUGAGCCAACCGCAUGGGAUUCGAGCUGAAAAAUUGUGUUAACGAUUAUACCCUUCGUUUCCUUGAACCUCCUGGCAUGGUUUGCGAAGGAAAUGUACCCUUCGCUGCUGAAAGCAAAUGAAGGAAUUACGCUUGCAGGAACAGGGUUGACAUAACUCGGUACCACUGACUCGGAGUCCGAUUCUUUAAACACCGUGCCGACUCGGUCGUAGCGGCUCGAAAGGUGGAGCAGGAAGCCGAGAAAGCCAGCACCAGAAGUGAAGAACAGAAAUGAUGGAACCUUGAGUUCGUUGGCCACGUCGAUCAUGGUGGUGCAGAACAUAUCAACCACUAAACCAGAAACAGAGCAACUGGGCAAGACAUGGCUGGCUAUGGCUUCUCUCACAUGGUUCUUGUAGCCCUCUAUGUAGACUGUGAUGUAUUUUUCCACAGACUGUUGAAGAAACUCAAGUGGGCGGUUCACAGUGGGAAGGUCUAUGAUUUUGAUGUGGCCGUGGGAGACAGCAAGCGAUUGUGCGCUGGUGUUUGAGUUCAGAGUAGCAGAGGGUUCAAAUGGAGGUUUCAUGACCAGGAUUGUGAUUGAGAAUCGAUCACAGACAUCCAAUAAUCGUUUCGAAAACUCUAUUGCUGAUACAAGAUGGCCAACGGCCGGUGUGGGAACGAAAACCAGCUCUGCUCUCUUCAUGUUUUGUGCUGCUUUGUUUGCUCACUCUGUUGCUUUCUUGAUGGUGCAUGUUUGACAUAUAUUGAGAGCACUUGAGGUGGAUGAAGGAUGAUUGACGUCUUUCAAUUUUAUGUGGUGUAGGCCAACUCUGAGAAUAUAAAAAAAUUCCUUGUCAAAAAACAGAAGAGAGAGAGAGAGAAAUUCCCAAUGAUAAUGAGGCAUGUAAUGUGGGCUCACCGAAUCUAAGAUGAUUGUUUAAUGAAGGGAUCCGAGGUGGAUAAUGAGGCAAUCGGUCAAACUAAUCAAUUGCAUUCAUCAAUGAUAAUGAGGCAUGUAAUGUUGUCAAACUAAUAACAUUCUUCCUACUUAUCCACCACGGUGUCUUGUUAAUUAGAUGAUUGGUUUGGUUGUGUGGUGUUGUUUAAUUUAAGUCAUCGCAUUCAUCAAGCACAAGUAGUCACGAGAUUGAUUCGUGGUCCAUAAAACGCAGCCACCACCAAAGGAUGUGAUUGAUGACAUUAAUGUGAUUUGCUCAUAGUUUAUAAAACGGACUGUGCUUUUCAAUUUUUAAAAAAAUCACUUAUAAUCUCAAAAAAACAAUAAUAAAGUAGGCAUUUUGAACGAAAAUACCGCAAAAUUGCAUUUACCGAUCGCAUUUUAACCUCAUAAUUGACAUCGUCAAAACCCACCACAAAAUUAAAUAUUAUAUUUAAAAUAUAUAAUAUACAAUUCAAGAAUUAAAAAAAAUAAAAAAGAUAGCCAUUUGUUGGGCAUGCCAACACUCAUGCAUUGCUUAUGCGCCAAACCAAAGCCUGUUUUUUUCUUUAUUUUUUUAUUUUUUAUUUUUUACUUCUUUUUCUUCUCCCUCUCUCUAUUUUUUUCGAUCUCUCUUUUCUUUCUUUUUCCUUCUCCUCUUCUUUUCUCUUUCUAUUUUUCCUACUUCUUCCUCUCUCCGUCGCUUUCCAUCUCUCAUCUCUAACUUCUUCUCUACCUCUAUCUUUCUUUCUUUCUUCCUCUUUCUUCCUCUCUAUGUCUGUUUCCAUCUCUUCUCUCCCUCUUUCUUUUUUUUUAGGCCUAGUUAGGGUGGUGGAUUUUCUGGGAUUGCUUGGAUUGUUUAGGCCCAAAACAACACAAUCGGUGGAUACCGUUGUGGACAUUGACCGAUUUGCGAUUCCACCGAGUUGCGAUUAACCUCAACUCUUUGGCUGGUUUGCGAUCUCAAAUAAUGCAAUACCGCGAUUUCUCGGGCGGUUUGCGAUUUACAUGAAAUUUUGAGGUUACAGUACCACAUCCACCCCUAAGUUAGUUUUGGGGGAGAGAAAGAGAGAUCGAGAGAGAUCAUCUUCUUCUUUGGUCCAAGCUACUUUUUCUCAGCAAGGAGAUCUUCCCAUUUAAUUAAAAACUAAAUCUUUUUAUGAAAAAAAGUAGAAGAAAAAGUAGAAGAAGUAGCUACUAAAGGUGUUGUUCUUCUAGUUGUUUAUAUUCUUUGUUAUGUUGUGGAAAUUAGAAGGAAGAAGGAUAAAGGAGCGGAGAGCGACUGGGGAAGUCGCUUGGGCUGGUGUUGCUAGGGAGAGUUGGAUCUGAGUAGGGUUUUUUUUUUUUGUUUUUUGUUUUGUUUUUUUAUAUUUUUUUUAUAUAUAAUUUUAUUUUUAAAGCAUAGAGAAGAAAGAUUUUUUAUUAUUAAUUUUUCCAAUAUAUAUAUAUAAUUAAACAAGUAAUUACAUUAUUUUAUUAUAUAUUUAAUUCAGUUUAAACAAAAAAAAAAGGGUCAUUCACAUGACACAUCAUCACUUGUUGUAAAAAGAUUAAAAUACCCAUGUCACGUCAUCAAAAUUAACAGAGUUAUAAUAGAGAUAACGGAAGGGGAUAAAGUGGAACACGAAAUCACGAUCAAGGGGGGUUAAGUAGGUCAUUUUAAUUUGGGAAGAUAAAAUGAGAUUUGACCGAAGUUUCAGGGAGUACUGCAAUAAAUAGGCCAUUCUCUUAAGCAAAAUAUAAUUCUUUAUUUUUUUUCUUUUUGAAAACAUAAUCUAUAUAUAGAAAUCAAAAGGCAGAGAAUGGUGAAACAUUCAAAAUACCAGAAAAUGCCCUUGGUUAAUGCAAACAUUAAGAAUUCAAAUUAUUAAUUAAAUGAGGAUAAUAUGGUAAAUUCACACUUUUUCAUAUUUAAAAAAAUUAAAAGAAAAAGAAAAAACAGAUAAUAGAUCCUAUUUUUAUGGAACACAACUACCCAUUAUCUUUUUUAAUUCUAAAAUAAAUUUACUUAUUUUUAAAAAAAAAACCUCUCGCAAGCGCGGAAGCGCGUGCGGAGAGGCUAGUCUAUAUAUAAAGAAAAAGGCAGAGAAUGAUAAAACAUUAAAAAUACAAGAAAAUGCCACUGAUUAAUGCAAACAUUAAGAAUUAAAAUUAUUAAUUAAAUAAGGAUAAUAUGGUAAAUUCAUACGUUUUCAUAUUUAAAAAAAAUCAAAUGAUGGAUCCUAUUUUUACGGAACACAACUACCCACUAUUUUUUAAAUUCUAAAAUAAAUUUAAAUUUUUUUAAAAAAAAGCCUCUUGCAAAUAUUGAAGCGCGUGCGAAGAGGCUAGUAUUACUUAAAAAUGAAAUCUUAUGUAAGAGUCUCUUUGUAAAGUGUAAGCGUAAGAAAUGAAUUUUCGUUUCAAGCGGUUCAAUUUUAGGUGGGAAUUCGUUUGUAAAAAAUAAUAUAUAUAUAAAUUAAACAAAACUUCGGCACUAAUUGUUUUGCAAAUCAAGAACUCAAACUUCCUCCAAGUAAGGCUCCAAGGGGGAGUAUGUACGCAACGAGAUAUACACUUGAAGGGGUGAUUCUGUCCAUCCAAUUUAAAUUUUGGCUAAGGUUAAACUUCGACUAGUUUAAAAUAGAAAACUAAUAAAUUUAUCAUAUUUUCUCUUCAUAUAAUGUCAUAGUUAACGUGUGUUUAUCAAAGUAAUUAAUAUGGUCAUCAUCAUAUCAUCUCAUGUCAUAUCAAAGUAAGUAAUACAUUGCUCUAAGCAUUUUGGGGUUUAAAUUUAGUAAUUUUACACAAAGCAAGCAGAGGAAAACAGAGGCCUAGCUAACUGCCAACCAACCAAACAAUAUCACAAUCCACAAAUUAGGAGGGAAAGUUCAGCAGAGUAGCUCAUUCACCGCCUACCAUUACCAUGGCCUUCUCUGCUCUUCCUCUACCUCUCUCCACACCCUCUCCCUCCACUCAAACCUCAAUAGCCAACCCUCCUGAAAACCUCUCGUCCUCAGCCCUCCCACUCCCAAAACUCAAAACCCCAACCAUUCGCUCCCGCCUCAGCAAACUCUGCCAAGAAGGCCAACCUCUCCUUGCCCGCCAAUUGUUUGAUACUCUUCCUCGCCCAACAACCGUUCUCUGGAACACCAUCAUCAUUGGGUUCAUUUGCAACAACAUGCCCAAUGAAGCCCUUUUGUUCUAUGCCCAGAUGAAGGCCUCCUCUCCCCACAUCAAGUCUGACUCGUACACUUAUUCUUCUACCCUGAAAGCGUGCGCUGAUACCCGCAAUUUCAAGAUGGGUAAAGCCCUGCAUUGCCAUGUUCUUCGGUGCCUACCGAAUCCCAGCAGGAUUGUGUGCAAUUCACUUUUGAAUAUGUACUCUGCUUGCUAUAAUGACUUUGAUUAUUCCGAGUAUGAUUUAGUACGUAGAGUGUUUGAUACAAUGCGUAAGAGAAACGUGGUUGCGUGGAAUACGUUGGUUUCAUGGUAUGUUAAGACUCAGAGAUAUGCAGAAGCAGUCAAGCAAUUUAAGAUGAUGAUGAGAAUGAGAAUAACACCGAGUGCUGUCAGUUUUGUCAAUGUUUUCCCUGCCCUUUCCGCUAUGGGAGACUAUAAAAAUGCGAAUGUUUUAUAUGGUAUGCUUCUUAGAUUGGGUGAUGAAUAUGUGAAUGACUUGUUUGCCGUGAGCUCAGCCACAUUUAUGUAUGGCGAACUUGGUUGCCUUGAUUAUGCUAGGAAGAUUUUUGACCAUUGUUUAGAGAGAAACACAGAGAUUUGGAACACCAUGAUUGGGGCGUAUGUUCAAAAUAACCUUCCUAUUGAAGCAAUCAGCCUUUUGUUUCAAGCUGUGAAGUCAGAACAGGCUAUUCUUGAUGAGGUGACUUUUCUUUCAGCUUUAACUGCAUGUUCACAGUUUCAACAGUUGGAAUUAGCUGGACAACUACAUGCUUUUAUUAUCAAGCAUUUGAGAGUGAUGCCCGUUAUUUUACAAAAUGCAACUAUCGUGAUGUAUUCAAGGUGCAAUUCUGUUGAGAUGUCUUUCAAAAUAUUUCAUAAAAUGCCUGAGAGGGAUGUUGUUUCGUGGAAUACUAUGGUUUCUGCAUUCGUUCAAAAUGGGUUAGAUGAUGAAGCUUUAAUGCUUGUUUCUGAGAUGCAAAAGCAACAGUUUAUGAUUGAUUCCGUAACUGUAACUGCUCUACUUUCGGCUUCAUCAAAUCUUAGAAACCUGGAUAUUGGAAAGCAGACCCAUGCUUAUCUUAUUAGGCACGGAAUACAAUUUGAGGGGAUGGAAAGUUAUCUCAUUGACAUGUAUGCUAAAUCUGGUUCAGUAAGGAUUGCAGAACGAAUUUUCAAAACAGAGUAUACCCAUGAUAGAGAUCAGGCCACUUGGAAUUCUAUGAUUGCUGGAUACACACAGAAUGGGCUAACUGAAGAAGCUUUUGUUGUCUUUAGGCAGAUGCUUGAGCAGAAUCUAAUACCAAAUGCUGUCACCUUAGCAUCAAUUCUCCCAGCUUGUAAUCCAGUGGGAAACAUAGAUAUGGGUAAGCAGCUCCAUGCGUUCUCUAUCCGCCAGUACCUUGACCAAAAUGUAUUUGUCGGAACUGCCCUAAUUGAUGUGUACUCCAAAUGUGGCGCAAUCACUUAUGCUGAAAAUGUAUUUACUGGAACCCAUGAGAAGAAUUCUGUCACAUACACCACAAUGAUACUGGGAUAUGGUCAACAUGGAAUGGGUGAGAGAGCUCUCUCUUUGUUUCACUCAAUGCAGAGAUCUGGCAUUGUACCUGAUGCCAUUACCUUUGUUGCAGUCUUGUCUGCCUGUAGUUAUGCUGGUUUGGUUGAUGAAGGUCUUUCUAUAUAUGAUUCAAUGAAAAGGGAGUACAAUAUUAAACCAUUAACGGCACACUAUUGUUGUAUAGCAGACAUGUUAGGGAGAGUUGGAAGAGUGGUUGAAGCUUAUGAAUUUGUCAAAGGGUUGGGUGAAGAGGGUGAUGUGACGGAAAUUUGGGGAUCACUCCUUGGGGCGUGCAGAAUUCAUAAACAUUUUGAAUUGGGAAAGAUUGUUGCUGAGAAAUUGCUUGAAAUAGAGGCAGGAAAUGGCAAGACUGGCUACCAUGUCUUGCUCUCAAAUAUUUAUGCCGAGGAAGGAAAGUGGGAAAAUGUUGACAGAGUGAGGAAACAAAUGAGGGAAAAAGGCUUGAGAAAGGAGACUGGAUGUAGUUGGAUUGAGAUUACCGGUUUUCUGAACUGUUUUGUGUCUAGGGACCAAAAGCACCCCCAGUGUGAUGAGAUAUAUGAUAUGUUGGAGGAAUUGACUACGACGAUGAAAGAUACUGGUUAUAGGCCUUCUCUCAGUUCCCCUCUAGAUGCAAUCAUGGAGCCUAAUGAGUGAUGAAGCAUACUGGAUAAAGAAUUGUUGCCAUCUUAUGCUUUCAUUCAAUGUGGUGGACUACUUCAACAAAUCUGCUUGUAAAGUAUCCACCAUCUGGUGGUGUACUUAUCACAGCAUCCACAACUCCUUUCCAGGCUCCAUAACAAGAAGUGAUAUAUUCCGUGAAAGACAGUGUUCAUGUAACUUGCUUUGGAUCAAUCAUUUGUCCCUGUGGACACGACAGUAAUCCUUUUUCAGAUGCUUUUCCUCUAGCUCCCAAAAAGGACAUAUGGACUGGAUUAAAUGGUUCAAUCUUCGUAAAAUAAUGGAUGGUCCGGUUUGUCCCAAGGGAGAUAGCUAGUUAUGGACAACUAUUAUAUUGGCUGCUUUCUGGCAAGUAUAUUGGCAUGUCUUGUUAAUUGAUUUUAACUUCAUCUUAGGUUUAUGUUAUCCAACACGACACUUGUAUUUACAGAUGGAACUCUACUGUUAUGCUAAUUUGGAUUUUGGGCAGGUCAGCAGUUGUCCAAAGCAGGUUUUCUCAGAUGGUGCUCACGUCUGUCCAUAUGGCCUUUGGUAGUGUACUUGGACACUGGGAUCUGGGCCAGAGUAAUGUAAUAAGCUGCCAUCUCGGAAAGGCAUUAUCCAUAUUAUUCAGGUCAGUUAAAAAGCAUGUUUUUUGUCUAUAGUAGUGUUGUGCAUGGUCAUGACUCAUAAACUUAGUUAAAUGAUUCUUUGAUCUUUGAUGGAAUACCCUGCAUGAGUAGUGGCUCUUUUCUUCCAUUUGGCUUAGUAUUGAGCGUGCCCUGUAUUAUAUUGGUCGCUCUUCUUCCAAGAAGUCUUGAAAAUGUUUUAUGUUUUGUGCUCUGUAGCACUUAGAAGGCUAUUAUAACUGCUUAAAUUAUGAGACCCAGAUAUAGAACAGGCCAUCUUGACGGUUCUAUUUCACCCUCAAAUCAGACCAGUUUGCAUUUGCCCUGGGAGGAUAAAUUGGUCAAAGAAGCUAUUUUUCCUUAAAUUUGGGCCUUUCUAUUUUUUGUUUGUUUUUCUUAAUGUUGGUUUAGAACAAAAUAAUAAGUACUAGUUCCUUCAUAAACAACUAAAAAUAAUAAUAUUUCGUAUUUUUUAAGAAUAAUUUGGCAAUAAUAAUUUAAGAAGGGUGCGUGCUAAAUUGCCGAUAAGUGUAUGUAGAUAUGAAUUUGCAGCAUGAUAAAUUUUUCCCAUGAAGGCCACCAGAAAUGUUUGUUAAGGAAUUCAGUAAUGUGUUAUCUGUAAUUUAUGAGAUGAGCACGGUAUAUAUUUGUUACCUUGCAUUCUUAUACUUUAAUGUUACAUAUAUGGUUAAAAUGAAGUACAGAUACGAAUCAUGUUCUUCAGCUCCUAAAAAAUAUUAAAUUGCUCGAAUGGUUACAGAGUCACAUACCGCCAUGAACGGUAACUGUUCAUUCUUUUGGAGGUGAAAAUGGUCAUAAUUCCGAAAAUGAAAAAUUGUAAUUUGUGUCACAGGGCACCUGAGGAAAGCAUAUAUGACCGUGGGACUCUCCAUCAAGAACUUAAACAGAGAACUAUGUUUUCCUUUGGCCAUUAAAGUGAGUUCUGGUGGUACAGCCGGGCAUUUUCCUCUCUGCAGAAAUGGGAGGAAGUCGUUUGACUAGGUACUCUUAUUGAUUUAUUUACUUUGUAUAACUUCACUAUCUUCUACGCACUAUGUUUUCUUUGUUGCCAAGAUUUCACAGAUUCUUUUGCCAAUUUUAAAUUUGUUGUGCUGUGCGGAGAUGAUUCUUCACCUUUUUACUUAAAAGACCAUAUGAUUUUAUGAAAAUUCUAUGGUAUUGGACUUUACCGCUUUGCCCCUUUUCCGUUUGAAGAUGAAAUCCAAUUGCUUGCUUACUUUCAUGUUAACUAUAAGCACCGUUGCGUGGUAAUCCAGGAUUCAUCAGGGCUCACAAACCAAUGGUCGGAGGGCCCCCACAUUUGUUCUUUAGUUUGGUCUCUAAGUCUUUCUGGAAACUACUUCCUCAACAAGACAACACGAAAGCUUUGGGACAAUAAGACCGACUUUUCUACAGAAUGCCAGCAAAGGCAUGACAUCACUUUCUUGGCUCGGCCAAGGAAAGUUCCAAGAAUUGAGCGGUCUAUAGGAAACACCAAAAUCCAUGUGCAUGCAUUGAUGCAGCACAUGAUAUAUAUAAAAGCUCCAGAUCGUCCUAAUCCAUCUUCACAAGUCACAAGUGAAAGCUUGAACUAGAACCAUCUCUCUAAUUUCUAUCUGAGUUCCUUCGUGUUGUCUCCAAAAUGAAGAAAGCUGCAGAGCUAGUUUUCAUUCCUUCCCCAGGUGUUGGCCAUCUCGUGUCUGCAGUCGAGAUUGCGAAGCUCUUGGUUGCUCGAGACGACCAACUUUUCAUCACAGUGCUCACCAUGAAGCUACCUUUCGACUGCAUGCCCAAGGGUACUGUUGAUGCCUACACAGACUCCAUGUCACAACGUAUCAAGUUCGUCGAUCUCCCGGAGGAAGCCAUAGAGACUCGGGGCAUCAACCCUAACCUCUUCCUCAAGUUUUUCAUUGAGAAUCAUAAGGCCCACGUUAAAGAUGCUGUCACCAAACUCACUGAGUCAGAUCAGUCCGAUUCCAAGCCUAGGCUUGCUGGGUUUGUCGUCGACCUGUUCUGCACCUCUAUGAUAGACGUGGCCGAUGAAUUUGGGGUUCCUACGUACAUCUUCUUCACGUCCAGCGCAGGGUUUCUUGGUCUCAUGUUUCACCUCCAAACCCUUCAUGAUGAGCAGAACAAGGACUGCAUUGAGUUCAAGGACUCGGACGCUGAGUUGGUUGUGCCGAGUUUUGUCAACCCAUUGCCUGCUGGAUCAGUCUUACCUGGUGUGUUUCUGGACAAGCAUGGCGCCGCUGAAUUCAUCAACCAUGCCAGAAGGUUUAGAGAAACCAAGGGUAUUUUGGUAAACACAUUCAUUGAGCUAGAAUCGCAUGCCCUUCACUCUAUUUCUGACGAGGGCAAAACUCCACCCCUGUACCCAGUGGGACCCAUACUGAACUUGAAGAGUGACGAUAACCAUAAAGGUUCGGAGAUCUUAAAGUGGCUUGAUGAUCAGCCUCCGUCGUCUGUAGUGUUCCUCUGCUUUGGGAGCAUGGGAAGCUUUGGUGAGGACCAGGUGAGAGAGAUAGCGUGCGCGCUGGAGCACAGUGGGCUUCGGUUCUUGUGGUCCCUACGCCAGGCCCCACCAAAAGGGGUGGUUGCGUUCCCAAGUGAUUAUGCAGAUCACAAGGGGGUCUUGCCGGAAGGGUUCCUCGACCGGACGGUUGGGAUUGGCAAGGUUAUACGAUGGGCUCCACAAGUGGCCAUUUUAUCUCACCGGGCAAUCGGAGGGUUCGUAUCCCAUUGCGGGUGGAAUUCAACGCUGGAGAGUCUAUGGCAUGGUGUGCCGGUUGCCACAUGGCCAAUGUACGCGGAGCAACAACUAAAUGCCUUUCAACUGGUGAGGGAUUUGGGUUUGGCAGUGGAAAUUAAGAUGAGUUAUAGGAGGGACGAUCAAGUGGUGGUGAGUGCAGAGGAGAUAGAGAGAGGAAUAAAAGAGGUGAUGGAGCAUGAUAGUGAUCAAAGAAAGAGGGUUAAGGAGAUGAGUGAGAAGUGCAAGAAAGCCUUGAUGGACGGUGGAUCCUCACACUCUUCAUUGGGUCGUUUUAUAGAUCAGCUUUUCCUUUGACUCAUUCGGGAGUCCAAUUGGUAAUUACUAGUUAAUACGAGUUUAUGAGUAUUUUUGUACUAACUUGAAAGCAAUGGAAGAGAUGACUCUACUUUUUGUAGUGGUAUUCUAAUCUACUUCGACUUCUCGGAGGCCAAGCCAACAAGCAAUUUGUUAUUUAUCAUUUUCGUCAUAGUUUUUGUUAGUUGCUGAUUUAUUAGUUGUCUUCUUUACUAUUUAUUUUUCAGUCAACUUUCUAGCUACUUAAAGACAAGAAAUUAUAGCUAAUGAACGAGUCUAAUUCGAUAAAAAAUAAUUUUAAUUUGUAGAAUAAUGUUCUUAAUUUGAACUCCUAUGAUAUGGUGGUAGUGUGUAUGUACCACCAUAUGCUAAAAAACAAAACAAAAUAUAGGCUAAGCUUCAUGGUUGGUGCUUCUUUUUUCAUUUUGCAUUUUGCCUUUUUUUCAUUUUGCCUUUUUUUCAUUUGGAUUAGACAGGAAGGCUUUCUACGAUGAUAUUUUGUCUUGCUGUUCCCCUGAAGCUCACAGCAUCUUUCUUUCAGCUGCUAUAUGCCAAAACAAUGGUCCGGUUUAUAAUGCAAUAUUCUAGUUUACUAUGACUGGUCGGGGCCCACAAAUCAUUGGCUGGGCUUCUUAGUAAUUUUAGGCUUUGUUUGAUAUUCAUAUGUGUAUAUAUAUAGUCCUAUUUUAUUGACGAAUUUUUUAAAUAAUUUUAUUUGAUGGACACUCUUUAGGUUUUUUUACGAUUUUUUUUUCAACCAUCUAAAUAAUCUAUUUUUUAAGUCCACAUUCAUAGAUUAUCCUUGCAAAUAAUUAGACGAAUCGGAAACCAUUUCGAUAUCCAAUUGUAUCCGACAAAAUCAAUGAACAUAGUGCUUCAAGAAAGUACUAAAAUUUCAAUAACUCAAUUCAAUGGUCAAAUGAUAUAGGAUUCAAGUGAUUUUUUGUAGAGAUGAUCUUUGAGUGAUUAUCUAAAAAAUAGACAGUUUGGAUUAGUAAAAUACAAUAUGGAGUGGGUCUUACAAUGGUGUUCCUCAAAUAAAGGAUCCCUCAAUAAAAGCUAUAUAUAUAUAUAUAUAUAUUGAAUUUUUAGAUUUCAAUUUAGGCGCAAAAUUUCAAGUUUUCAUAUUUCAAGUUGGGCUUACAAGAUUACAAUGAUGAUGAUGAUGCUGAUGGAGGCUUUGAACAACAACAACGAGGCCACGGCGCAGGAGGCUCUCGAGUUGUUGAUCGAAUUGGCCGGGACCUACCCUAGGUUUCUCAGUCGACAGAGAGAGUAGGUUGGGGAGGUGCGGAUCUGUAGGCAUUAAGUCCAGGUUGGGACGGGUCUAUGUGGGUGGGUUGAUGGUAGAUUUCUAAGGGUUGGGUGGGUUGAUGGUAGAUUUCUAAGGAUUGGUUCAAGGUCGGCAAUGAGAGAGAGAGAGAGAGAGAGAGAGAGAGAGAGAGAGAGAGAGGAAAAAAAAAGAGAAUGAGUUUUAUUUUUUUUUUAUUUUUUUUAUUUUUCACACAUCAUCCCCAAUUAAAUAUUCCUAAUUGAAUUUAUAUAUUUUUUAGGUCAAAAUCCCUAAUUAAAUUUAGGGAGCUUUCAUUUUAAGACAUUAUAUAGUUUACGAAUUUGGAAGAUAUGAAUAUAAUUUUACCUAAUUAGCAUAAGGCCAAAGAUAAAAAAGUAAUACCUACUUUUACCAAAAUAGAAUCAAAGAACAUUAAAAUCAUAACAUAUGUCAUUAUGCCAUUAUUAUCAAAUUUUAGUAUUUAGUUUUAAACCAAAACUUACAGCUGUCAAAACGAUAUCAAAAGACCCAAAACUUAACCAGAAACGACAGGCACUCAAAUUGAAUCAUAACCCCUUUGCGCGACCUUUCGUCUUCAACUCUAGAAACCGCUUCAACAAUUCCACAAAAUUCCCCAAAAUCUCAGACGAUCGUUUGCACCAACAACGUCAAAUAACGAUCGAAGCCAAUUCUUCAUUCUCUCUUUCAACAACAAAAAGGGUAAGGAAAUCAACGCUCUAGUACCUACUCUUCAUUCUUCGUUGUGCAAUGUGAUUUAGGUUUUGGUUUCAAAACCUCUAAAAACUAAAAAAUCACCAGAGAAAGAGAAAGAGAAAGAGCUUGCGAGAGGAACUUUUUUUUGCAUUGCAGAAAAUGAAAACUGCACAGUUUAGUUUGUAGUUCUUUAGGGUUUAGACUUUCCUAAUCGUUCCAUUUGGCAAUGAGACGAAGCUUGCGAGCGGAACUCUUUUUGGCAUCAUUUGCAAUGAGAGAAGAGAGCAUAUAACUGUUUUCUACAUAGCAAAAAACAUAAACUGCAGUGUAGUUUUUGGUUUAUUUGUAGUUCUUGUUUAACUAUGCUGAUCUUUCCAUUUCAUGUCAACUUGAUGUACAUUUUCUUUUUAUAUUUUGUGUUUGAAUUGCUCCUAUUAUAUUUCUAUUAUGUUUGACAUUUUGCGUUUUGGAUUGCUCUUUUUAAAAGAGGAAUAGCAUCAAAUAUUUCUGUUUUUUGCAUUUGCAAAAAAUGGAAACUGCAUUGUAGUUUCCGUAAAUGUAAUGCAGUUUGUAUUAAUGCAAUGCAAUGAACUACAACCUGCAUUACAGAUAACGGAAACUGCAUUGCAGUUUCUAUGAAUGCAAUGCAGUUUGAAUUAAUGCAAUGCAGUGAACUACAAUGCAGUUUCCAUUUUUUGCAAUGCAGAAAACAGAAAUAUUUGAUGCUAUUCCUUUGUAGUUCACUGCAUUGCAUUAACUAAAAUUGCAUUGUAGAUCACACGCAAUGCAGUGACUCAAAUUCUAAGACUGCCAAACGAAGGAAUAUCUGUUAAACUUGGUAAUGAUCGAUACACUGCUCCCUUCAGAACAAGGUACUUUGGAGAAAAGGGAAAACUAUCAAAAGCCAUGGUAGAAGCAGAAUUACAAAACACAAUUGCCUUGGCAAACCAACCGAAGAAAGAAAAGGCCAAGGCAAAUCAAAAGAAGAAAACAAAUAAAGGAGAAGAAAAGAAAUAAGCUGAAGAAGAAGAAGUUGACCACGACAAGGAUGUAGUCAGCCUAAUCUUGAUUUUGCUCUGCAUGACAUUCCUCUUUGCCAACUCUUCAUCCACUUUCCACUGGAAAAUAUUUGAGCACUGUGUGAAUCUAGACACACUUUUAAGCUAUUCGUGGGCAAGAGCUGUUUGAGCCUAUAUGAAUGAAUCAUUGAUCACAAAAGCAAAAGCAAAGAAGGGAGGAGAAGCCUUUAUAGGAGUUGUUUCGGGUUGCACUAUCCUAAUAUUGGUAAGUAAACAGUGGCUUAUGCAAUGCAUUUUGAGUUUUAGGUAAUGCAUUUUCCAUUUAGUGCAAUGCAGUUUCUGUUUUAUCCUAUGCAGUUCCCAACCUAAUUUAUGAUAUAUCUUGUUUUUGAAUUGUGCAGUUUCUACUGUGUGAGAGGACAAACAUCAGACAACCAAUCCUUGACAAGGAGAAAGAAACUCCUGCCAUUCUUAAAUGGGGUCUUGUGGAACUCCACACAAAAUUCAACCAAAUAAAGGACUUGAAUGACAUCGAGGUAUGCAAUAUAUUGGAUAUUUUAUUUUAAUGUAUCUUGAAUGUGAAUCCAUGCUAAAUCAUUCUCAUUGUACAUGGUAUUUUCAAAACUCCUAAUAAAUGAAAAACUACCAAGGAAGAGGGAGACCCUGUUGAGAAGGUAAUUAAAAUAUGUAUACACUGUAUUGCAGUUUAUAUUUUCUACAUUGCAGAAACAAAAAUUGCACUGCAGUAUCAGUUUCCUGCAAUGCAGUUUGCAUUUUAUCCAAUGCAGUUUCUAAAUCAUUCUCAUUGUACAGGGUAUUUUGAAAACAUAUAAAAAGAGAAAAAACUAACAGAGAAGAGGGAGACCCUCUUGACAAGGUAAUAAGAAUCUCUAAAUAGUGAAUUAUGCAUUGCAGUUUCCGUUUCUUGCAAUGCAGUUUUUGUUUUCUCCAAUGCAGUUUCUAAUUAGUUUCCGUUCAAUAUGCAAAAAAUGAAGAUGAUGAAGGAGAAUAAGGAGAAGCAGAAGAAGUAGAAGACCAAGGAAAACCUGAUGAUGCUGAUCAAACUCCAUAAUUAAAAGAGAUUAGAAUGAAGAAAAGGUUAGAGAAUGAAGAUGGAAAAGAACAUGUUACAAUUCAAGACCUUUUGGUGAACUCCAUGAUAACCCAAAUCAAGUACCGCUAAAGCCAAGAUCCUAGCUUCGUUUGCCCAGAAAGAUUAAAACUGUGGAAGGAUGAAAUAAAUAAAUACAGUGAGAAGAAAAUGACGGAAUUGUGGGAUAUAUUUAUCCAAGUAGAAAAAAGAUCAAAGGAGCUGGAAGCGGAGUUGGCAACAUAUAUAAAGAAAUUAGAUAAUGAAGAAUGUGUGACUGCCACCAUGACAGUGGAAUCUACAAUUCAGCUUCAUGAAAUACAAAAUCUGCAAAAGAAGGAUUGCAGAAUUGGAAGGCAAGGAAUCACAUAUUGACAUGGAGCAGAGGAUAACAACUCCAAAAGCUAGAGGAUAAAACCCUGCAAAACAAAACCAAAAGCACAAGCAUAAGCAACAAACAAAAACUGCAGUGCAGUUUAUGAAAACAAAUCUGCUCAAAUUUGAAAGGAAACCAAAAGGCAAAUCCAUGAUCAAAGUACUAAAACUAAGUUCAAAACACAUUUAUGUUCAUGAGCAGUUGCAACAUUCCCAUUGACUUGCAAAAAUUAUUAAGAAAUUGAAUUAUUAAAUAAGAAACUGCAGUGCAGUUUCUACUAAAAAACUACAACAAAUGGAAUCUGCAGUGAGCAGUUGUAACAUUGCCAAAAGAAAGCCACGUUCAAAGUACUAAAACUAAUAUCAAAACACAUUUAACUCCAUGAGCAGUUGUAACAUUGCCAUACACUUCCAAUGUAGUUUACGAAACCAGAAACUGCAAUGCAGUUUUUGCUAAAAAAACUGCAACAAACAGAUGCAGUUUAUGACAUAAAAUCAAAACAAAUUCAAGUCCAUCAUCAGUUAUAACAUUGCCAUACACUUCCAAUGCAUUUUAUGCUAAAAAAAACUGAAACAAACAUAUGCAGUUUAUGAUAGAAAAUAAAAAAACUUCAAAUAGAAACCAAAAGGAAGCCAAGAUAAAAGUACUAACUAAAUUCCAAAAACAUAUAAGUCGAUAAACGAAAACAGGUUCUAAAGUACUCAUACCACAACACCUACGACUGCCCAAAAUCUCCCCAACCAAACAGCAAUUCAAAAUCAAAUCUAAAAACAAAACGAAGAAGAUAGGGUUAAGCAUUGAAUGCCACAAGAUCGCGGCACCAAAUUGCGCCACAAAACUAAGCUAGAAAUACCUGAACUAAGGAGAACAGAAA